GAUGCAGUGUUUCUUGCUGUAUAGUCCGUGGGAAAUGCUGUCCAGCUUUGCUUCCUUGCAUGUGGAGUUAAUGUUCCCACCAAGGCCAGCUGGAGGUCUUGUUUGAUUGACUUUGGGGACAAAAUUGGUGGGAUGGUGGAAAUUAUUUUGUCAAAGCUGGUUAUUUGUCUGAGACUAUGUACAGGACAGGGGUAAAUACUUCUCUGAAAUUGAACUGACCACUACAAGUCAAUGACUGCCUUUCUUUAAGAAAAUAGCAAAUAGUCAAAUGGUUGUCAGAGUGACCCUUGGUGAGUGGUGGGGCUGAAUUCAGUGCUGAAGCCGUGGAACGAGCCAGGCCUGGGGAUGCUUCCCACUUCACAUCAGUCAUCAAAAUGGAACUUUGUUUCUGAAAAAGGUCAGUCCCAGGACGUGUAAAGGUGCCGGCAUUUAAUUUAUUAAAUGAAUUCUUCAUGGCUUCAAGAAGCUUGUUUCUGAGUGGGUUUGCUGAUCACCUGGGCUUCACCUGGUCCUCGGGGGUUCUGCCCCAGCCCCGGUCCUGCAGGCAGAGAACCAGCGCCCGUGUGGCCUCUGUAAGUCACUCGCACUGUCCUCCUGGGGGUUCCUGAAGGUGCAAUGCAGACCUGCUGUGAAGGACCACCCUGCCCCGCCGUCCCACCUGCGGCUGCUCUUGGAGCCUGGAACGGGGCGGGCAGUAGGUAGCCUGCACUUCAAGGGCACGUGUGCAUGAAAGGCUGGAACUCCGGGAACACGUCUCACCGUCACCUCUCGAAGGGUUCAGGCUUCUGAGAGUCAGCCUCGGUUCUGUAGCUUGAGUGUUCCACGUGCUCGGGAUGGUCAUCUCAGAGGGAGGCAUUGAUUGACAUGUCCCCCCCCCCCCCCGCAACAGCCCUCGGCUUUGACCCUCAAUGGGGCUUUUAUUCUCUGCUCUGGUUUUCUUAUGAGUAGAAUUGGUGUUAAAAUCUCUACAUACAGGAGCUGGUGUUUGUCUUAGUGGUCAAGACAUGGGUUAGGCCACUUGCAUCUCACAUUGACAGACCUGGGUUGAAUACCUACCUCCAUUAUCUGACCUGAGCCUUCUGCUAAUGCAGAAUCCGGGAGGCAGUGGUGAUGGCUCAGGUAGUUGGUUUCCUACCACCCAAAUGGGAGACCUGUUUUGGGCCCCACCUCCACGCUUUGGCCCAGUCUAGUCCUAGGGAGUGAACCGGCAGCUAGAAGAACUCUGUCUUCCUGUUUCUCUGUGUCUCUUUGCCUCUCAAAUUAAAAAAAAAAAUCUAAAGAAAAUGUCCACGUAUAUUUAGCUCAUGUCUUGAAGUAAUGAAACAUUUUGCUUAUAGGUGUGUGCAUCUGUUCACUAACUCUCAGUCAUUAACUGAGCUUCCAGUGCAGGUACAAGCACCAAGCCAGGUGCUGGGGAGCCACCCAGAGAGCUGUGGUGCUCACUGUGCGGCCACUGAUAGAGGGAAGCAGAGAGAGAAGCCAGUCCACAGUUGCAGUGGGGUGUGUUAGUGGGUGUGGUGCAGAUGCACACAGGUAGCAUGUGGAUCUCUGGGUCAGGGCUGUGUGUAAGGUGCAGGGUGUCUGGAAAAGCUUUCCUAGAUAUUUUAAAAGGUUUGUGGAAAAUUGAAAGAUAAAUGUAUGUUAGUGUAAAAAUUUUUUUAAAUCAGUGCAUGUUUUUUUCAUAAUAUGCAUUUCUGUGAACCUGCUAAAGGUCUGCCAUACACUUGGACUUUAAAAAGUUUACACCAAAAUAAACUUACCUUUGUGUUAACACUUAUUUUAUUUAUUUGAAAGGCAUACCAAUACAGCAUAAGGAAGAGGCAGAGAGAUUUUCCAUCCACUGGUUCACCAUUUGGGAAUGGCUGCAACAGUGAGGUGUGGGCCAGCAGCCUGGAACUCCAUCCUGGUCUUACACAUAGGUGCAGGGGCCCAAGUACUCAGGCCAUCUUCCGCUGCCUUCUCAGGCACAUUAGCAAGGAGCUGGAUCAGAAGUGCAAUAGCUGAGACUCAAACUGGUGCUCUGAUAUGGGAAGCUGGUGCCGCAAGCAAUGGAUUAGCCUGCUGUUCCACUGCACCGCCCCCGAUAAAUUUAUCUUCUAAUUUCACUUUUCCAUUAACUUUUUAAAGUAUCUUCCUAGGUUUCUGAGCAGCCUGCGAGGGCCGUAUUCCUUCAGAGUUCAAAUGAGGACUGAAUCAUCCCGAUUAUUCACACUAAAGUACUGGAAGGUAUUUGUCAUUUCACUUAGAAAAAUUUUUUUCUGAAUAAAAAUGAUCAGCAUCUUCAAAACUUUGUUUUUGAAGGCUAAAACCUAAGAUACGAAGAACACUCAGGAACAGAGCACCAAAUUCCCUGUCUCUUGGGCCUGAUAAAUGAGCUCUUUGGCUUCUGCUUGUGAAGCGAUUUGAAUGAUAGUAGCAGUGAGCUGCUGAUUGUGCUGAGCCAAGAACCAGAAAUAGGCUUUCAUCCCACAAGGAUCAGAUGUUAACUAAAUAACCAUCACGUUUUCUCUUCCACAAAGCUUGCAAACAGAUACAGAAGUUUCGCAAGGGAGUCAUUUCUGGCUUUACUGAUGCACAUUGGGGAAGGGAACAUGUGAAGGGGGCGUGGCUCCCCACUUGGGCUGUACAUGCUUACUUCCCUUGGUUCAGGGGUUAACAGAAGAGUUAAGCUCCAGAAUCAGUGUGGUAUUUACAGCUACUUACCCAAAAAAGUCCAAACAAGGAUUUCCCUCUCCCAGGAGUGAUGUCACAUCUGCCCAGCAGGUCCCCACCCUACUUGACAAGUGUGUCUGCUCGGCUGGAUCCUCCCAGAAAACCUCAUGACUUUAUGGGGUGUAAUUGAGGACCUUGGCAGAGUAGCCCCGAUUUGUAGCUCAGGCAUAUCCACUGUUGGCUAUUUAUAUACAGGGCGGUGGAGCAAGCCAGCAUUGCUGAAAAGAGCCUUCACUUAAAAUAUCAGCCCCAGCAGUUGUCAUCAAUUACAUUGUGUGCUGCUCAAUAAAAAUGGGAGGUUACUACAGCAGCGCUGACACCACUUGGUGAAAUAUAAACCGCAGGCGUGCAGGAUGCAGAGCACUUCAUCUUCCAGGAAAUAGGGGCCUUGCUGAACCCCAUUGGAAGUUGUCAGCAGCAGAGAGAAGUCAUUUUCCAUCCUAAGCUGAAAAAGAAUCAAACGUAGUUAAGGUGGCAUUGUUCUUGAGGGAAACUUUGAGUUGUGAGAAAUAGAACAUGUGGAAGAGCAUUUUCAAAGAUUCGUAGAUGGCAUAUAUGGGCUGGCAUGGGGUGAGCAUGCAUCGUUGGGGAAGAGGAUGCGAGGGAAGGCUGAGGGUGGGGGUUUCUGACACAGUGUUGCAGGACACCCCCAAAACUGGCUGGAGGACAUGCUGUAGAACAAUAAAACGGGUCUGCUCGCCUAAAACGCAGCAAGCCAGUUAGGGCGCCGUGGCGGAGGAAGAAAGGAGGGGCUUACUGCAAAGGGCACAGCAAGGAGCCGGGCAGCUGUUCUCAGUAGAUGGGCUUCUGAGGCGCUAGGGCUCAAGGUUCUUACAGGUUGAAGUUGGGUUGAGAAGUGCAGGGCCAGCUCGUGUCCAGUCCCUGAUUGGGCUGCAGGGGCUCGUGGCCUUCCUCGGACUGGUUGGUGAUGCCCUGUUCUUAGGGAAUUUUGAUGAUGGUGAAGUGGGCUGCAGUCAGUCCAGGGGAGACGUACAGGUGGUAGUUGCCUGUCCUUUAGGGCUUGAGGUUUCUGGAGAAGAAAGCCCCCAAGACAACACCAAACACCAAGAUGGUAUCUACCUGGGAAAUAAAGGACCAGAUGAGUUUUGUGUUCAGGGAUCUUGCAGGGCUGCCUAAAUCAUUCCUUCAGUGCGGGGAGUUAAUUUUAGCAAGUGCUUGAUUUGCAAUCAUAAAAGCAGGGCAAGGCAACGUUGAGCUGAGGGAGGGAGACAGGGAGAUGAGGACCUGAUGGGCUGUAGCAUCUGCAUCCUAGGCACUCUGCAGGCCUGGGAAUCUUUGUGCCAGUGCCACUUGGAUAUUUAUGACACAGUUCAUGGACCAUACAAGAUUAGCAACUUACAAAUUAACCUGCUCUGGAGUUACUGCUUGCCAUUACCUUGGCAGGGUCAGACUAACUGUUUGGAUGUUCCCCACCCCUGGUCUAGGGGCCUGAGUUCAGUAGUGUAGUCAGGUGAUUUGAGGCAAGUUGUUAAGGAUAAUUCAUAGCAAGCCCUCGUGUUUGAACUUUGUUUUCUUAGCAAUGGAGAGCCAGGGCUGACAGGGCAGUGUCUUGGAGGAUUCAAUUUGGUGACUUACCAGCUGUGAACAUGAGCUGUACUUGCUGAAUGAUGUGACUUCAUGGGAUUCUUGUGUGGCUUCUCCAUGACACCACUCAUUGUCUUGUAGCCUCGGGCUCUGUCACAGGCAAUUAGACUUAGCAGUCUGUCUCUAGCUUGACCUCUGAAAUGUCCAUGAAGAUUCUGAUUGCCCCAAACUGUUGGUGUGAAUAGUUAGGAGACUUGAAAUAUUCAUGGGGCUGGCCUUGUGGCACAGUGGGUUAAGCUGCCUGCUACACCAGCAUCCCAUGUGAGUACCAGUUUGUGUACUGGCUGCUCCACUUCUGAUCCUGCUCCCUGCUGAUGUGCCCGGGAAAGCAGUAUAAGAUGGCUCAUAGGAGAGACCUGGAUGAGGCUUCUGGCUACUGGCUUCUGGCUUCAACCUGGCUAAGCCCCCACCACAGCAGCCAUUUAGGGAGGGAACCACCAGAUGGAAGGUCUCUCCAUCUCUUCUUAAGUCUCCAUUUCUUUGUGUCUGUCUGUCUGUCUCUCUCCCUAACUCUGGCUUUUAAAUAAUUUUUUUAAAGAAAAAGUAUUCAGGAAACAGUUGAUGGGCUGUAACUGCUCUCUGUGCUUAAACACAUUUACUGGAUGCCGAACAGCAGCAAUUGUGUGGUGGGCACAGAAUUGCCUGCGCGGCGGUUAGAAGACACUGCCACGCCUGGUGCUCACCAGUGAUGGGCCUCGCUUGUUCUCUUUAAGGGAUUCGCCCGUGCGUCUGCUGGAAGAAUAUAAUAAACAUCAACUUCGGGCUUUUCUAAGAAUUCUGAGAUUAGGGUGAAGUCAUAGCUCCUUUUUGCUUGUCAUGAUUUGAUGUCAAAUCUCACAGAAGAGACAGACAGGGGCUCAGGGCUGAUGGGAAGAAUUCCUAACGCAGGUGAGAACUGUCCUCUGUGAAGCUGGCAAAGGAGGACCCCGUGCCGAGAGAGGUGGGCAGGCCGUGCUGUUGGAGACAGCCACAGACAGGCGCGGGUGGGUGUCCUGUGCUGCCGGCGGGGUGAGGUGGAGGCUGCAGGACGGGCCUCUGCAACGGGGCUGCCGGAGGCUGGAGUGCCGGGGGCGAUGCCCGAGGUUUCCGUGGCUUCUGCAUUGUCCUGUCAGCUGCUUCCUUCAGCUGGCCCCUGGCAAGCCUGGCACUGCACAAGACGUUCAGUGCUUCUCAGUGUGGAAGCUGGCCCAGCAAGGUCCUCCCCGAGACGGCAGGCCCUGUCACAUAGGUGUGGGACACCCACAACUCUGGGAGACUCUCGUGCUCUCUGGCAAUUGAAAAGAGACCAUUGGACCUAGUCUUUUUCUAAGUUGGUCUUGGACCUCAUGUUUUCAUUUUUGUUUUUCUGCCACACAGCAGGUGCCAGAGAAGUAGUGUGUCUUGUGCAGUGUGCUUUGUGAAGUAUGGUCUGGAAUCCUGGGGUUUGGAGCUUAGAACUAGUCUGACAGUUACUAGCUGUGUGAUUCUGGGAAAAUAGUUGACCGGCUCGGAGCCUAAGCCCUCCCACCUGGAGAUGGCAGUGAUAGUACGCCCAGGACAGCAUUGAGCCGAUUCAGGGGUCUCUAUGCCUGGCAUGCAGUAAGUGCUUCUGCGGUCUUGCUUGAGCAAGUACUUGACCCUUUGCAGCCCCCUCUCUUCCCACUCCUUAGUCCCCACCUGGUGGCCCUCAGAGCUGUGGUGUUCUGGAGUUCUUAGGACUGGGUUGGCCCUGGUCCAUUUAUAGCAGGCAGGUCACUGUUGGGGGCACUGCAGGCCCCCUCAGUGGGUCCCAAGAGGUUCAGGCUAUAUGAUACAUUGAUUUAUUCCCUAGUUACCAAGUCAAUGACACUUAACCCCCCUGUCCUGGCUAAUAGGGGUAGCGUGGGAGAUACCUCUUUUUGGGACACCGCCAGUUGUCAAUCCUAAGACCUCCCGUCAGGGUCCUGCGCAGGUGUGGAGUCGUAAGUACAGAGGGAUGGGGAGGGCCUGUGGUGUUGGUGGAGUGAGGCUUGAUCUGCGUAACUGGGACAUUCACAAGAUGCAAGGGUUUAUACCACUGACACGGCUCAGUGUUAGUCCAGGAACUUUCAGGCGUCACCACUCAGUCUCAGUCUGCACCUUUGGCUUGAGCAGGCUCCCUGGUGCUACUCAGCCCACUUUUGCUGACAAGGCACCUCCAAGGCCCUAAUAAAGGUGUUGUCACAGAGACACACUGUCCCCUGUAGUGAGGUGGCCUGAGGGGGAGCACUAGUCAACAGGCCUAGAGGUGAAAUUCAUUAUUUAAUAAGUUUAUUUAUUAACACAUUUAUUAAGUUACUGAACUACGGUACCCUUCUAAAAAAAUAAAAUGUGUGCUUUACGAUUCCAGAUUGCGGGAUGAAUGGGAAGCCAAGUGAAUUCUGACAAGUUGCUUCAAAACUUUCCAAGUAGUCCUUGAAAAAAAUGGAAGUUUAUUCACAAUAGUUUUGCUGAAUGAGAGGCAUUUUUAGGGAGUGCCUUGGAGAGGGGUGGUAGGGAAGGUAAUUUGUGUUUAUAACUGCUCCACUCCUUUCAUUCCUGGUUGUGUGAAGGUGUCUCCGAGUGAUGGAGCUUGAUUAACUUAGGUUCUCUGCUGUGGCCACUGUCUGCUCAGGGAAAGAACCAUCCAUGUGUUGGCCCUGAGACGCCACGGGAUGAGACAAGGCGUUUUAGGAGAAGUGGCUGAGGAGUUAACGCAUGGGGCUUUUUGUCUUCCAAGACAAGUAGGCAGUGAAUGUUUUAGGUCAAGUGAGCAGCCCCUGGAGUAAAUCCCACCAUCCUUCCCGAGUAGCUUGGCUGUAGCUAAACCUCGGGUGAUGCCCGUGAGCCUGAGAGCAGAAUAUCAACUCGUGGAAAUUGGUCUCCAGACAGAAAGAAAGCUCGCCAAAUCAAGGGCCCCGUUUACCCUUGCUGCUGACCUGAAGAGAAGAAAAACCGUGCCCUUUGACCUGCAGCCUAUUAGACCGAGAUCCUGACAAGCUCAAAUCCAGGCCAGAGCCUGGAGCUGCUUCGAGGUGAAGAUUCUCAGACUCAAGGGGACAGAGCUCUCCCCGUGGAGCUGUGUUUGCGGAACCCCCGCCCGGUGGGUUACUGAAGCGGCUCUCUGUUGCCUGUCUGAAAGGGUGCCUGGGGAGUCAAGAUCCUCGCUUCUAAAAUUGUGCGUUAGAAGGAGGAUUACUGUGAAAUUUUACAUGAUUAGCUUAGUAGAGACCUUAAGUCCCUAUAGCUUUCCUCUUGAAGUGGAAUUUAACCUCACCCCAAAAAGAGCCCCUGCUUUGCAUUCAGACGGCCUUGCGCGGUUUCCAGUUUUGCAAGGCUCUCUUCACCUUAGCUGAUCCCCGGAGCUGCUGCUGUUCACAGGCAGCCAGCCUGGUCUGUGGGAAGCAUCUUAAUCAUUUUCUCCUGCUUCUCUCCUGGUUCCUGUGCUUGGUUUCCCCCUCUCUGUCUUUUCCAUGUGAUUUAGUCACGUGCUUUAUGCGAGGUAGUAACUCCCCUUCCUCAUAUUAGCCAGCCUCCUGCCCAGUGAAAUCGGUCUCUCCCCACUGCCCUCGCUGUUUCUGUUUCUUGUUUGUGUCUGUAAAAUAGGUAGCAUUUUUUUUUUGACAGGCAGAGUGGACAGUAAGAGAGAGAGAGACAGAGAGAAAGGUCUUCCUUUGCCGUUGGUUCACCCUCCAAUGGCCGCCGUGGCCAGUGCGCUGCGACCGGCACACCGUGCUGAUCCGAUGGCAGGAGCCAGUACUUAUCCUGGUCUCCCAUGGGGUGCAGGGCCCAAGCACUUGGGCCGUCCUCCACUGCACUCUCUGGCCACAGCAGAGAGCUGGACUGGAAGAGGAGCAACCGGGACAGAAUCCGGCGCCCCAACCGGGACUAGAACCUGGUGUGCUGGCACCACAAGACAGAGGAUUAGCCUAGUGAGCCGCGGUGCUGGCAAUAGGUAGCAUUUUUAAAAAUGAGGGAGUGCUGAUUUUUUUAAACAUUGCAGCUCAAUUCUGCUGGGGAAGAAACAGAAAACUAUUAACUGAAAUGUCGGCACACCCCUGCUUUAACUCUGUCUCUCUGCUUUGAAGUUAGAUCAAGUUAAAAGUUUUCUCUUUCAUCUUGGGCUGCCUUUGCCUGCUUGCUUAUUUUAAAGAAAGAAACAUCAGAUAUAAGAUUGAAAUCCUAUGGGUCCCUUCUUGGUCUUUUCCAUUUUAUUUGCUCUCAGAGUAACUGUAUCAUUAAUUUGCUUCUCUGUCCAGUUUCGUAGACUUUGAGGGUUUAUGUGCAUGUGUGCAGUUACAUGUUUUACAAUACAGUUUAAUUAUCUGCUUUACGUGUUUAUUAUCCUUAAUAUUUUCUGAGCUUUUCUGUUUUCAUAGUUAUCGACCUAGCUGAUUCAUUUACCCUGUAAGGUUCUUAUUCUGAGAACAGAACACAGGCAGUGUAACCAUUGUGUUCCCUCACUGAAGUGUGUGUUGCCUCCGCCUCUUUUCUUGCUGGGGCUCCUUUUUCUUAGCAUUUCUGACCACACUGAUUCUUCCGUUGGGCCCCCGGCCUACACAGGGUGGGACACGGCUCUGCCACUGUUAAAAUGGGCAACUUGGGGCAAAUCCCAAAGGCUGUCUUGACUUCAGUUUGCCCAUUUCUAAAAUAGAGAGCUGGACCUGGGACCCUUGCCACCUAUGAUUGUUCAUUUCAGGCAGCAUGGUUUUCUGUUUUCUCGUGAAGGAAGAAAAAUGAGAAAUUUGAAACAUGACUCCAGAGGUUGCAGUUUAACCAAUGAAGUGUGAAUAUAACUGCAGGAAGCGCAGUGGAAUUAAAUGGGCCUUUUCACCAUCAGGUGUGGGGGGGAGGCCCAGAAUGAAACGUCAAAAAGACCAAACUGGGAGAUGUUUUCUUUUGCAUAGAAUCUCAUGGAACACUGCCCAGUGGGGAGGACAAGCCAGGGGUUUGAAGAGCUCGGGUCCCCGUCAGGCCUCUCCCACUAGCUCACUGCAUCCGUUUAAAUAAUCUAACACAGCCUUUGUGAUUCCCUGUGUCCACUGGGGCUAACGUUUUGUAGGACAUUUGUGCAGACCAAAAGUGAUUCUGCUUGCAAAGGGCCGAGGAGUGGUGGGUGCUGUCUCCUGGCGACCCUCCCUUCCUUUCUGGCCUGAUGAGCUCUGGGGUCCCUCUAUGUCAUUCUGUUUCCUCUCACAGGACGUGGGCAGCCGUAUGAGUGUUUGUGGGGGCUUCUGGGAAAGGCUCCCAGGGCCUGUACCCCUAGAACCAGGAAGCAAAGCCAUUCCGAGUUGGGGUUCCUGCCUUCGGAUGAAGUAGCAGAGUCAGGAAGGGCAGCAGCGUGCCCCCUGCAGUGAUGGCCCAGGUGGCUUCCUGGUUCCUGAGUCUAAGGUCAUUUCAGCACAAUCAGCUCCAUUGUGAAGAUGUGUUUAUUACCUUUCCCCAGACUCUUCAAAUGUGGUGUGUGUUUUAUAAAAAGGAAAAAAAAAAAAAAAAAAAAAAAAAAAAAAAAACACCUUUCCUGCUCUUCUGCCUGCCAGAACAAUCACCCCUGACUUCGUUGUAUUGUGUGUUGAGUCCUGAUGAACCAGCCUUAGUUUGAGAAAAGUCUCAAUAGGAAAAAAAUGUCAGCUGAAUUUUAAAAUUGUUGAAGAUUGCUGUUUCAGUUUCCCUUAUUUGAGCGUGUCCAGUGGAUUCUAGUGUGUCCACGGUGAGGAGAACGCUGAUUAGAGAAAAUCUGCCCAAAUCGCCACACGUGCCCUCCUGCGAUGGACACAUGGUGCUGCUAGGGUCCUCCGUUGUGUUGCAGCAGUCGAUGCUGGACACCUGCGAGGUGUUCGCGCUCCCCGGUCACCACGUGUGAUGAGAAGGGCCCUGAGCUGUGCGAUCUCCAGGAUUGGGUUCAACUCCCAGUUCUUCCCUUUCACAGCUGUGCGUACCUAGGCACACACUUCACUUCUCUGAGCCUUGGUUUCCUUAUCUGAAAUGCAGAAAGCAUGGCAUUGACGGGGAACUGUGCAACUCCAGACCCCAUCUUAGUAUAAUAAAGGCAAGGAAGCCACCGCAGCAGGUGGAGCCCUGGUGCUUUGUUUUGGAGUCUGGGUUUUGAGCUGCCCACUUAGCCCAUCAGAGGGUGGGUUAAUGGAGCAGGUCAUUACACACAGAGGCCGGGAAGAGGAAUGUGAUGGUGUCCUUCCUCAGCGAGGUUAGGUCCAUGGAGCGGAGAGAGAUAGGAAGAGACGUCACGUGCCGACGUGGAAGGGGCCUGACAGCAGGGGCUCUCGGUGAGCCCUUCCUAGGUGAGGUUUGGGGGAAGUACCAGAGAAGGAACGGCUUGGGGGGAGGCAGGCAGCUGGGUGGGCUUGGCCUGGAGGGCGGGUCUAGUGGGGAGACAGGUUCCCAACAGCCGCUCACCCAGGUUGCAGGAGCGAAGUUUUCAUGCAGUAGACGGUUUGGGCUCUGAUGCCACAAUUCCAUUGACUGGGUGGUUUGUCAAGAACUGAAUUAAUUUCUCCGUUCUGGAAGCAGCGAGUCUGAGGCCGAGGUGCUGGCACUAUUGGGUUCUGGUGAGCACCCCCGUUCUGAGUCUCCUCCUUGGAUCUUUAUCUGGUGGGAAUGUGCAGGAAAGAGAGCCCCAGAAUUCUCUGGGGUCCCUCUUUAAGGCCACUCUCUUUGGCCCACAAAAUAACAGUGAUAGAAUGAGAUGAAGAAGAUGGAAAAUGUUAAUGCGGCUGCACCAAGGCAGAAGAUCCUCAGCUGGUGAAAGAGAGUCUUGUGGCCCCACAGGAUCUGCUGUUGUGUCGUGGCCCCGGACGUGGCUGACCUUGUGCCAUCACGAGUCCUUGUAUCACACUCUGCUUCACCCACUUUCCCUCCCUCACCCCAAGAUUGGCACUGAGUGUGCUCCAUUCUCCUCCUGCCAUCGCUUCAGGCCUGUGAGUGCUCAAUGUCCCUGCAGGAGCCGACUGGAAAUGUGACUCAGAUGUGCUCAGUUCUCAGAUCGGGAACCAGAUGUGUGAUAGCGUGACACGUCUCUCUCUCUCUCUCUCUUUUUUUGACAGGCAGAGCGGACAGUGAGAGAGAGAGACAGAGAGAAAGGUCUUCCUUUGCCGUUGGUUCACCCUCCAACGGCCACCACAGCCAGCGCACCGCGCUAAUCUGAUGGCAGGAGCCAGGUGCUUCUCCUGGUCUCCCGUGUGGGUGCAGGGCCCAAGGAGUUGGGCCAUCCUCCACUGCCUUCCUGGGCCACAGCAGAGAGCUGGACUGGAAGAGGGGCAACUGGGACAGAAUCCGGGGCCCCGACCGGGACUAGAACCUGGUGUGCCAGCGCCACAGGUGGAGGAUUAGCCUAGUGAGCCGCAGCGCUGGCUCGACACUUUUCUUUUUGUUUUCUCUGUCUCACUCACCAAAAGGCAACUUAGAAGCAUAUGUAAGUAGCAACUAGUAAAAUGAAUAGGUAACUAUUUGGAUAUAAGGAAAGGCUGUAAGUAACUUAAAACCACAGCCACGGCAGCGCUCACACUCACACUCACACUCACACUAGGUAGAUUUAUGUGAACUUCUGGAGCUGAGCACAGGGAAGGAAGCACACAGCCCUCCGUUCUCACGAUGGGAGCACCAGGCAGGAGGCACACAGGUGCUCCAGGUCUCUGGCCCAGGGGUCCCAGGUCGGUGUGUGUCGGGGUGGACCUAGGUGCCCUUGCUGGAUCUGCCAGGGAGUCCUACAGUGAUGAUGUGAUUGCUUCCUCCACCAUCGGUCUGCCUGCCGUGGUGCUUAGUGCUAAGUACAAUUCUAGAACUAACCCAGCAGUAGGGAGUACACAGCCUUCGGGCGGUCUGGCUUGGUAGACAGAGAAAACUGAAGAAUGGUCGGCCUGCACCUUCAUCCAGGGAUACUCGGGUUGUUUUGCUUCCUGUCGCUGUUGAACACUGGGAGCAGAGAGUUCUGGGGUUUUCUUGGCAGGAACCAGGUAUUCAUUCCGUGCUGCCAACUAAUGGAAGCAAAUGCAUCUCCUCUCUUCAGCCUGGUGGCAGGCAGAGCCAGCCUCCUUGGUAGACAUUUAAAAUUCAAGCCAGAACCUCUGUACCUGCCUGCACAGUCACCUCCCUCCCUGCUGAGACUGCUGAUCAGCUCAAACCCAUGGACCAGUGAGUGAUUCCGGACAUCAGCCUUCUUCCCUCAGACCAGGCAGUGCUAGUGACAGUGCGUGGAGUGUAGCUGUGUAAUGUGGGUUUGCAUGGCAGAAAAUGCCCCCCUUGCAUGCAUUUUGUGCAUCUGUACCACCCGUUUCUCAGAUGAGUGCAGUGCCUUUUAAAUUGAAGACUGAUUGAUUGAUUUGAAAGGUAGAGUGGUGGGGAGGGUGAAAGAGAUCUUCCAUCUGCAGGUUCACUCCCCAGGUGGCUGCACCAGCCACAUCUGGGGCAAACUGAAGUCAGCAGCCUGGAACUCCAUCUUGGUCUUCCACAUGGGUGGCAGGGACUCAAGUCCCUGGACCGUUUUUCCACUUCCUUCCCAGGCACAUUAGCAGAAAGCUGAUUGGAAACAGAGCAGUUGGCUCCUGAACCAGUGCUCUGAGACGGGCCACCUGCAGCACAAGUGGCGGCUUAACCCACUGUGAGACAACACCAGUCCCUGCAGUUACCGAUAUUCUUGAUAAAAUCACAUUUUGUUUAAAGACACUGCCAAAGUCAUAUUGGAUUUUGUUAUCAAAUUCUCAGCCACUGACCGAACUAUCAGGGUGGCUGUCUUUGAAGGGACAAGAGGAAGGUGCAAUUCACAAGCGACUUUCAGGCAGUAGAAAGCGUUGCUUAUGGUGGAAGAAUUUGGUCACAUUGACACUGCAGUUUCAUUUUAACUUUUUUCAGGCAGGUAGAAAAAAGCAGGCAUGAAAAAAAUCUUAACAGAAACACACAGAAUACUUGAUUCUAAGCCAUGUCUGUUCUUGGUGACCCUGCUAGGAUAAAUUACUUGAAAAAAACUUCAGUUUGGAAAAAAAUGUAAUUUUUGGAAAGAAGCCAUAUGAAGUUGGCAGGCAUCUGCUGAUAAUGAUGAUUUUUGCUGUUGGUGAGGUCCAUCUGAGUCGUUCUUUCUGUCGGUGAUGAAGCAGAAGGAGAUUCCUAGUUAGUGAUGAUAAAAUGACGCUGUCGGAUUAGGGCUGAGCUCUCAUCAUUCUGCUUUCAUGGCAACUCGCAGAUUUCUUCAUCCAGAAAUGGCGUUAAGUGCUCUGUGCAUAGCUCUAGCAGGAGGGAUGGCUGAUAAAACCGAGUGGUGUGCGCCAGCCUCAGUAUCAGCCAGCGUGCACCUGAGUUUCCAAUUCUCUGAUGCAGUCAUUGCACUGGGGUGUUUGUUGGGAUGUUCGUGGUCAGGGUGUCGAGGAUUCUGUUUGGCUCCAAAGCGAGGCUGUGGACCUGAGUAGGAACUGCAAAGAGCUGACACUGGUUCAGCCGAAGCGGUGUAGGGGUGGGGUCGGACCCCGUGGAGGAGAUGAGUCACCCUCCCAGGGGCGUGCACAUGUGAGACGUGGCAGUCCUGUGCCUCGUCUGCUCUAGAGGAAACUGAGCACUGGAGAGGGAGGGGGGUGCCACUGAUACUGCCUCCCACCUUGAGUUUUUGUAGUUCUGUGAGAAGGCAGAUCUGCUGAGAGGGGAUGAUUUAUCUUACGGAGUCAUUGCCCAGAGAAUUUCCUCAACCAACCUACAUAAGUGUUGCUUCUAAGGUGGAUACAGCUUCCUAGAGUUCUGUGUGUGCACCUCUGUGAGACGACCUAGGGAGGUCAGCCUACAGUCAGAGCCUCAUUCGUUGUCAAACAAGGCACUGAGAGAGGGAAGUGGCUGAGAGGCUGUGCGUGCCUUAUAAAGUAAUAGGUCCAAUCAGUUUAGAGUCUCCGUUCCAUGAAUUUGGGGCUAACCUAUUCCUCAGUGGAUUCUGCCGUCUCUUGCCAUAAUCAUGGGGACAGAGGAGCCUGGGCCAGGCUUUACCUUGCUGGAGCUGCGGAUGCAGGCACGUGUUUGCAGGAGCAGUGUGACUGCUCACUGUGAGGCUUGGUGGAGUCUGGUGUCUUCCCCCGAGGAGGGAAGCUUUCUGUUUUAGAUGCUUGAGUAAGGGCAGGGGUGAACGCAGAUGGAUGUGGGAAACCAUCCUGCUUAGAGCACACACUGAGGGCCCAGAGGAGUCUGUGAGCCUGCUCUCACAGUGUCCAGCUGUGUGUCCAGCCGUGCAGCAUGGAGCCACAUUCACAGAUCCCGGGACACAGCCCCAGAGGUCAUGUGCUCGUAAACCCCGCACCUGACGAGCUCAAGUUGGUGGAGAGAUCUGCAGUGCAUGCCGGACCCGCUGUGCUUUACAUCACGCCGUCUCUGACAGCGAAGGACUCUGCAGCUCCCGGAUAAGGAAGGCUUGCUGCGUAGUGGGCUUAGAUUUGGUGUGCACUGAUCUAGUCUUCCUCAGAAGAGAAAGAGAAGGGGCUGUUCCUGCCUCCAGGGACACCCACAUGGAAGCCCUUGGGGGUGGGAGUCAGCAGGGAGUGGCUGUCCAGCAGAGCGUGCAGUGACGGCUGUGUGCAGAGCCGUCGUGGUGGCUGGCAUGUCCUCGGGACCCUGCUACCCUCCCUUCUCUGCUCUGCUCUGUACGUGUUCCAUUUUUCUUCAAACUCUGAUUUCCUCCUUGAGUUUGAUCUUUCGAGUGUGCUAAAUGGAAGAUCAUCCUGGUGGUGUAGACUUUCUAUCUAGUAUGAGGGAGAGAGAGAAUUGUAGUUAAGGAAGUCGAUUAUGGAUCUCUUAGCCAUUUGGCUGUUCAUUUAAGAGUUUAAUGUUAUAUAAUGAUUGCAUGGCACAUCACUAUUACUGCCCCAGGGUCCCCACACAUAUCCCCCAGCUUGGAAGAGUCCUGGCUCUCUUUAUGUGACCUGUCCAACUGAUUCUUGAAAUCUCAGUUCAUGUCGUGCUUACUCAAGGGAGCCUGUACUGAUUGACCGGAGCCUAGAUUGGGCCGUCCUCUCUUAAUAGGCUUUACUAUGCAUUCUUUCAUUUCUGAAGACUCAUUUUCCUGUUUGUCUCUUUGUCAAGGCUGUGGUUUCCUUGGGAACAGAAUGUGUACUGCUGUAUUUCCAGGGUGCAUCCUGGGCUGGACACAGAAGUAUGGAGUUAAUAGUUGUUGAAUAAAUUAUAAUUACCAUUUAUUACACACCUAUAGCGUGCCAGUACUGUCACUUCUCUUAAAAGACGUGUGGAACCUGCACAAGGACAGCACCAAGGACAGCUCUGCAUAGGGCAUACUUUUUUUGUUUUUUGUUUUUGUUUUUAAAGGGAAAGGUUUAUUGUUGGGUGGGGGAAGCCUGAUGGGUGGGGAGAGAUGAUUACGGUUAGAGAAUAAGAGAGAGGAAUCAAUGAGAGGGCACAGUUGUGAGAAACAGGUCCUGUUGUAAGUAUGGUGUUUUUACAGCAGGGAAACCGGGCUCACAUCCUAAGAAUACCACAGUCAGCAGCAUGUGAAAGGAUUGAGGAAGUGUGUACAUAUUGGGAGAAGUAUUCAUAAUUACAUGAAAAUGAUAAUUAUAAAAAAGCAAAAGAGGACACCUAAAAUGACUACUUAUGUAAACAAAGUGCUUAUGUAUAUAUCUCAGGAGUGCUUGCAUUUGCAUGUCAGCCUUCUGAAUCCAUGGCAACUUGCAAUCAUUGUCUCCAAGGAGCGGGCUGGGAGGGGAAUGAGAAACUUGAGUUUUCACUUUGGGCUCUUUGAUUGGUUGUCAUUUAUAAAUGUUUACUGUGAGCUGUGUAACUUUUUACAUAAUAAGUAAAAGAAGAAGGCCUUGCUGCAUGCCAUCCUGUGGCUGUGGUGGCCGAGGGGAUUUGAACUCUGGCCCUUGUGGCUGUGAAGUCCCAGUUGUGUUCAGGGCUCCUUUUCUGCGUCUGGCAUGGUGGUUCUCACAUCGGAGGUUGUGCCCCCAGGAUGCCUGGCAAUGUCUGUAAGUGGUUUGGGUGGUCACAACUUUGUCAUGCUGGCGUACACCCCCAGCACACGGGGCAGGCACACCAGAAGCACCCAGCUCUCGUGCAGGAGUGCCGAGGCUGUGGAGCCUGCUGUGGGCUGGCAGCCAGUCCCCCUCAUCACAAGCCCUGGCUCUGUGAUGAGACCUGGGUGUGGCUGGUGCCCACUCCAGCCCCAAAGAGAUCAUCAGCCAUGAAGUUGUGGGAUGUAAGCCCGGCCGAGGAGCGAGGGGCCCAGAGCAGCUGUAGGCUGGACAUUUCGCUGCCCGAUGGACAUGGCAGAAGUGGAAUCAUGUGUUGACCUUACCCCGAUGAAAGCUUGGCAAAGAGAGGCUGAGACUGAAACUAGUUGGGCCGCUGGGGAAGUGAUGACUGAGAGAGAGUUCUGUGAGGGUGCAGGGUGGGCGGGAGCUCCCCUGUGGCUUUGCAUCACCGGCUGAAGACCUGAGCUUCCUCUGGAGUGUGGUGGAGUCUGAGCUGUGUUCCCAUCGUCCCCUUGUCUGACCACGUAGCAGCUCCUUCACUGCCUGGAAGCAGCUGUCAUUUUGGCUAGUGCUGCAGGCACAAGCAGAACGCAGUCCUGGCCCAGUCGCUUUCUGAUGACUCCCUGGUGACUUAGAGGACCCCUCCCCAAGCUGCAGGGCUGCAUGGUGGGUGCUCUGCGGGGUCCCUGAGCCUCAGCCAUGGUGUGUCCCAGGGAGGGUUCUAUGAAACCAUUUCAUUUGGCCGUUCUGCUUCACAGAGGGGAAACUGAGGCCAGAGAGGAGCUCUCCCUUGGCCAGAACCUCUGCAGCUGGUCCGCCCAAUGCAGACUCAUCCUCAGCCCCUGGCCCCAGCCCUGUGGCCAGCCCCUUCCAGGCUGCAGUGGGGAGAAGAGAGGGUUGUUGUCCUUGUGUGUGGGCUGGAGAAGGUUGUCACGUGUGCCUGCAGUGUUCCUUUGUCCCUCCCUCCCCGUCUGUCUUGAGCGUGGUCAAUGCCUCUCUUCAUCCUUCAGACAGCUUUGCAGAUUCUUUCCCACAUGAACCCCAGCUUUGAGUUUCUCUCCCAUGUAGGGCUGUGGACCUCCAAGUUCAGCCAUUGCUGGGGCCCCAGGGUGUGUGUUACAGUGCUGAUCCAGGGCUCACUCCCUUCACAGUGAUGAGGUUCAGAGGGUCUAGGAGGGGCUUCCCUGUUAAGUGGUGUAAGGACUCACCUUGAGCACCGGUGUGGCGGGCAUUCCACAAAAGUGACUCGGAACAGCAGCCAGAAACCUACUCUGUGUCUUUCAGCUUGUUCUUAGCAUCUCGCUUCCAGUCUCCAUGUGCCCCAGUCAAAUGGUAUGCAAGGUUGCUUGAAGAGUUUUAGAAUGUGUGCAGCAGAAUAAGAUCCAGGGUGGUGGGUGGGAGUGGCUGUUCAUGGCAGGCUCCAGGUAUGGGAUUCCCUUAAGUCACAUUGUCCUUCAGGAGCUUCCCAGGGCUGAUAGAUUUUGAGUCAAGCACUACAAAGUGAGUAGCUGAGUUGGAGAUGAGAGAGGCAGUGAAAUGCAGAGGUAGAAGGGAAGGCUGUGGAAGCUUUGCACCGGGUAAGAUGUGUUCUAUUUGAUUGCAGGAGGAAGAACAGAUCAUAGUGAGUAUAGUCUCAGGUCAACUUGAGUUUGAUGUAAGGAAUAGUUCACAUCAAAUGGCAUUAGUAGUAGACUCCGGGGAAUUUGCUGGUCACUUUACAGAGAUUGUCUCUGAGGUUUGUGGUAUUGCUGUCUGUCCUUACUGUUACCCCACUUAAUAGAUGAUGGAACUCAUAGCUGAUGUAAUUAAACAGCUCACUACAUUUACCUAGUGAUGAAGUGGGUAGAGAGAACUCAAAUAUUGAUCAGGUUCACCUUGAAUCCUGAAGUGUGUCCACUCUACUGUUUCUUGUCAGUAAUGACGGUUGUCGGUAAUGAUGGAAUGAGCUGCCUGGAAGGUGGUGGAGCGUGGGGAAGCAGCAGGAGGAAUUUUUCCUGAAGGUGCUGCUGUUCCUGUUGAUCGGCACCACUGGCUAUCAUACGUGUGCAUGCGUGAUUUGGAGAAGCUGGGACAUUAAACAUUAACACGGCUUCAUUACUGCUGGACUUCUGAGAGUCUUUCAUGUGCCAGCAUAGGUUGUGUUCUUCAAAGACAGGCGAUGUAUACAGUGAUUCCCAAACUUACCUGAUCAUGGAUUCCCUCCUUAAUGAAUAUCUUCAGGUAGGUUAGGCUCCUUAGAAGACAUUUUUACAAAGGCACCUGUGAGAGAACAUGUGUUCAUUGGGCCGCAUGCUGGCCUGUUUUCUUUGCCUGUAAUGGGAGAUCUGGGGCCGGUGACUUAUAAAGAAAAGAUACUUAUUUUGCCUCACAUUUCUGGAGGCUGGAAAGUCCUGCGUUGGGUGGGCGUGUGUGGUGAGUGCCUCAUCAGCAUCUGCUCAUGCAUGCAGGUAUGUGUGUAAGAGAGGAGAGGGGGCAGACUCUCUGUGUGGCCAGCCCUUUCCACAAAAGAGCAUUUGUUUGUGACCCAAACUUCUCCCAGCCCUGCUGCAUUUGGAAUGAAGCCUUAACUGGAGUUUGGAUGGAGAACAACUCUAUUCAAACCAGAGGUGUCUGACCUCAGGUCCCCCAGCUGCCACAUGUCUCCGUGAUCCCAGCUCUACAACCAACAAGACAUGCUGACGGAGGGGCACCUUCAUCCAGCACGCACUGGUGCUUUUCUCCCCCAGGUUCUUUUAUUUAUUAUUUAUUUUGCUUAAUAUUUGUUUAUUUGAAAGACUGACGGAGACAGAGAGAGAAAGAAAAGAGAUCUUCCAUCUGCAGCCUGAUCCAGAAACUCAGAACCCCAUCAGGGUCUCCCAUGUGGGUGGCAGGAUAACAAAUACUUGUGUUGUCACUUGUUGCCUCUCAGGAGCACUAACCAAAAGCUAAUUCAGAAAUAGAGUAGCCAGGGUUCGAACCAGCAUUGCUAUAUGGGAUGCUGGUGUCCCAAGCACGGCUUGACCCACUGCGCCAUGAUGUCUGCCCCCUCUUCCAAGUUAUAGAUGCUUUGUACUACCCUCAGUUUUGCGUUCAUUGUUAAGGGAAAAUUUUGAAUAUUGAAUUAAUUUCCUUUUCACCUUGUGUUGUAACUAUUGAUUUGAACCAACAAUUGGUAUAAUGCUCAUUUGAAAUAUAAUUAUUUCUUAUAAAUGUUAUAUGAGUCUUGAGAAUGGCCUUGCAGAGCCAGGAAGUGAAGCAAAGAUGCUCUUAUAUCCAUGUGUUGUUUCCAUUUCUGAACCAAUUAUUUUUCUAAAAUUGCUUUUUAGGUUGGCUAUUAAGUUGGAAAGAGCAUUGAUUUUUGGCAUCAAGGAGACUCCUAAUGAAACAUGAUGUGUUUACUGUUAAUUACGUUAGCUCUCACCUGGCAGUUUAAUAGCAGUAUUUAUUUUUGACUUAGAGUGGGAUGAGUGGUCAUGUUCAUUAAUAACCUCGUUCAUUUUGUGGGGUUUGGGAGAGAGAAUUAUGAUCUCUUUAUUGAAAUCCUUGAAGAAGGGGUAGGGAUUCUGUGCACCAGUUAAGAAGCUGCUUAGAAUGCCUGUAUCAUGUAUCAGAGUGCCUGGGUUCAAGUCCUGGCUCUGCUUCCAGUUCUAGCUUUUUGCUAAUGUGCACCUGCGAGAUAGCAGGUAAUGGCUCAAGUACUUGGGUCCCUGCCAGUCAAUUGUAUUAGACCCUGGUGGAGUUCUCUGCUCCUGGCCUCAUCCUGGCUCCAUCUUGGCUGUUGUAGGCAUUGAGGGUGCAAAGUGGCAGAUGGAAGAUCUGUCUCUGUGCCUUUCAAAUAAAAAUGAAAAUAAACAAUAACAAUUUAAAUCCUUAGAGGAUUUUUCUUUAUUACUCAGAGUUUAAAACCAUACCUUUAAAAACUUGACCCUUUCCUACAAGCUAGUUUCUCUAAUUGAUGUGAACUUUGUCCAGGACAAUGGUCAGUGAUAGAAUGAGUAUUUAAAAAAUAAUAUGCAAAGGGCUUUAAGAGAGUCUGACUUCCCCACUCUGCAGGAGGCUUGGUCUUUAGCUCCCGUGUUGGAGGGCACUAGUCCAAGGUGACAGAAGUAACAUGGCAGAGAGCAGCUGGUGGGGACAAGGCUGCCCAAGUGCCAGCAGGGGCACAGAGCCUUGCCCAGUGGAGUGCUUUGCAGUCCUAAUGGCAGGUCUGGUGGCUCCAGUUCCUUUCCUGUGGGUGUGAGCACCUUCACUGAGGGUGGGACAAAGCCUUGGUGACCAGCAGCAGGUGGGCCCCUGUCCCUUCUCCUGCCUCCAUGUUCAGGGCUGGUCACUGCAUUUGUUUAGUUCUUCUCUUGCAAGUCAGUGUUUGCAUUUUGGUGCUAAGGUUUUUUGGAAGCAUCUAAGAUUCAGCCCCAUUUUCAUGCAGAUUUUUUUCAGAAAUCUCAAAGAAUUUUUUUUUUCAAAUUCAAACACAUUUUUCAAAUGCUUUUUUCCUCCCAAGUCCUUCAUUGUGAAAAUCACACAUUGGAAGCCAGGGGCUCCCGGUUACCUGAAGGGCAGCGUGCUUCCUGGUGCAGUCUCUCCAGUUUCAGCUUAAGGCUGCAUUUUGUACACGUUGGACUUCGGGGGUUUUGUUUUUGUAGGCCCUGUGCUGCAAGCAGACUCUCCAACUCCCCAGUCUUGUGCUUUCGCGUACCUGUAUUGAACGCAAUAUAGUCUCUUUAUAGGCAACAUGUUAUUUUUAUAUGCCUUACUUUAUUACACAUGAAAUGAAACCAUCUCUGACAUUUUCUAUACUCACUGAAUUUUUAUUAGAGUUAUAUCUUUCAUCAAUAAUAACACAAGCUACAACACCUUUCUCUGGAAUAUUUACUGAGAUUGCUGCCGCUGUUGGGACAGAGUGCUGUUGCCACCUUAUUAGAAAGAGUUUCAUCCUCAUUGCUUUUAUCUCGUUAGAUAAUCCUUUAAUCCCUGUUCAUUGCCCGUGGAUUCUGCCUCUCCUUGCCAGUGCUGUUAACACAAACCCGCAGCACAGCGUGGUGGGUGAGGCCGGACUUCGAGUUUCCCAGAGUUGCAGCAUCAGUCAUUCGUUCUGGCGGCUGUGGUGACUAGCACUGGAGGUCUCGUGCCUCAGGCCAGCCGUGUUCGUUCAUAAUAAGGGAUUUAGCAGAUACGUAUGCAAGCGGAAAAUUGAAUCAGUAGUGCUGUCACAUUACAGGAUUCCUGCAAAAAUGGAAGAGUCGAAUUGGGCAGAACUCUGUCUUCUGUGGGUUAGUGCAGGUAGCACAGGGAGCUAGGAAGUUUUCUACAUGAAUAAGCCUUUCAUUAUCAUACAGGUUUCGAGCCAGUUUGUUCUGGUGGGUGCCCACGUAGGAAUGUGGCAGUCAGGUACAAAUAGGUACCCUUUUUCCUACUGAUUUUAGAAAUCACCUUCUUGUUGAUGUCUUUUAGGAAAAUGAGAGUGAAAACACAGGAAAAUAGAAUGGCAGUAGUGCCGAAUUUAAAGUAUAAGAUGCUGGCCUGCCUUUGACGUUCGGGUGCAUUUCACCGCGAUUUUAACAGAUUAUAAAGGAAGUGGCUGUGGUGUGGGGCCUGCACACAUACACCUCCCUGUGCUUCCUCCCAGGAGCAAGUUGUUGUGAAAAAUGGAACGUGGGGCUCCAGACAGAGCCCUGGGCUCCCCCAGGGACACAGUUGUAGGUGUAAUGAAGAACCUCCCGGAGGGUUUGGAAGAGUUUCUGAGAAAUCAUACCGCAGAAGGUGAUCACAUUCCUCUAUCUUUUCUUUGUUUAUUGGAAACAGUUCUCAAGUAGGCAAUGCAUUCUGUUCAGAAAGGAAACUAACUAGGAAAGCAUAGAGUAAAAGGUCUCCUUGUGCCCAAUUUUCCCACUUUGUAACCACUGUUAUUAGUUUCUAGUGCCUCUCUCCAGAGAUAUUACAAUGCAUACAUUACCAUGUGUGUGCGAAUUCUUCUUUUCCUUUUUUUUGUUUUGAGAUGUAAAGCGUAUUAUGCACAAUGUUUCCCGCCACGCUUUUUGCAGGUAAUGAUCGAUCUUGGAGAUAUUUCCAUAUUCAUGCGUAGAUAUUCUUGGCUUUUCCUCUACAGCAGUCUGGCAUUUCAGUGUACAAGUGGACUGUGAUUUGUUUAGCCUGUCCCCUAUUGAUUGACAUUGGGGUUGCGAUGAAUAACCACACAUUCAUCACCUCCCAGGUUACCUGCUAGUGCUUCAACAUGCUGGCUUCCCCACAGAGAAGUUCAAGUGCAUUUGUCAUUUUGAUGAUUAUUGGCACAUGCCCCCACUCUCCUCUUUAUGGACAGUAUUUGGAAAUAGCUGGUUUGAAACAGCCUUGCUGGCUAUGUAUCUCUUCAUGUUCUCUGCCUGUUUUCCUGGUGGGUCCUUGGUCUUGCUAAUCUCUAGAAACUCUUUACGUAUAAUCUGAAUGGAAAAUAGAAAUUCCGAGGAGUGGUGUUUGUCUUUAGCUUGUGGUAUACAGCCAUGCCAAAGUUUUAUUUUCGUAUGUUCAUAUUUAUUAAAUGAACUUUUUAUGAUUCUAGAUUUUUCAGGUAUGAAUUAAAAGGUUUCAUCUCCUACAAGAUUGAAAGGAAUUUUCCAUUUUUUUCUGCCAUGAUUUUCGUAUAACUUGAAAUUUAUUCUGGUAUCUGUUGUAGAAUGUAGACCAAUCUUUUUCUGGAGAUGCUAUCUCUUUGUCUUUGCUUCAGUAGAGGAAUAUAAAAUUUUUUGAAAUACCACUUUUACUAUACAUUAAAUUCUGAUUGACAUUUGGAUUGAUUUCUGAACAUUGUGUUCUUACGCAUUUGUUUUCUUGUGGUCAUAUUCCAAUAUUUUCAUAAUAUUUAUGCUGUAAUAUGUUAUGGUCUCUGGCAAAGCUGAUAUUUUUACAUAUUUGUUUUUUAAAUUUGUUUACAGAUAAACUUACAUAAUCUGCAAGGUAAAAAACAGUUUUUCUUAGGAGAACAUUAUGCUUAUAAAUUAUUUUAAGAAGAAUCAACAUAGCUGUGUUUGUCUUCUUAUGCAAGAACAUGAUAUAUCUUCUAAUCCGGUCAAACUUUCUUUUGCAUCCUUCAAAGUGGAUUGAAAAUUUUCUUUUAAUGAUUUUUUUUAUUGGAGAGGGAGAUCGACCAUGAGGUACCAUGAAAUCGUACCUGCUGUUUCCCUCUGCAGAUGCCAGCAGCAGUUGGAGGACUAAAGCUGGGAGCUCCCACGAAGGUGACAGGAGCUCAGUUACUUGAGUGGUACCCCUGCCUUCCCGGGACCCAUAGUAGCAGGAACCUUGGGACUGGGAAUUGGACACAGGGACUCUGAUGUAGGAUGCAGGCAUCCUAACGACUGGGACAAAUGCCCACCCAUAACUCUUCUUCUUAGGAGUCUUGCACAUUUUUGUUCAGUCAGUUUCAUGGUACCUUCAUGUGUAUUGUAUUUUGUGAAAUUUUCUUUUAGCAUAAGUUUGCUAAUUAUGCAAUUCUGUACAUAAGGAAGACAGGAACAUUUGCUACAUAGCUUUGUAUUUUGUCAGUUUUCUCAAUUAUCUCUUGGCUUAUGGUUGUUUUUCCAAAUGAUUCUUUAAGGGCAUUAUAAAUAUACAGGCAACUUGUUUUUCCAUAGUCGUGGUUUUGUCUGCUCUGGGAAUUGUUAAGCCUCUUGAGGCCUUCCCUGUCCCCUUGUACAGAGAGGAAUAGUAGUGGUGAUGGUGAGCUCCCUGGUUUUGCUCCUGGUUCCUGUUGGCAUGUUAAAGGCAACAGCACUUGCUCUGUACGCACAGCACUUCUGUGUGAGAUUUUUGUACAUGGGAUGGUUCUUCAGUUGUCCGUGGAUGCCAGUGAGAUGCCCUGGAGUUCAAGUCAGCUCUGACACUGUCUUGCCUGAGCUAGUGCUACAAGACUGCCCCGACUCGGGUCUCGCCUGUGAGUCCUCCAUUGCUGCUGCCCUUCAGCCGCCUGGCUGCACAGUCGGCGGCUCCUGUAGCCCCCUCCUCACGCUCCACAAUUUGCUAGGCUGGGGCUCAGAACGUGGAAUCCCUGCUGGUUACUACAAAGGAUACUGAAAAAGACGCAAAUGCAUAGCCAGGUGGAGGCACAAAGGGCAAGAUCUGGAAUGGUCCCGAGCUCCAUGGGUGUGCAGCAUCCUCCUGGGAUUUGGAGAAAAAUCAUCAACCCAGAAGCCCAUCAGACCUCUUGAUGUAGGGUUUCCUUAGUGGCUGCGUUAGGGAGGCACGAUUGAAUGAAUGAGUUACAUGGGUGCAGCUACUCUCCCCUCCUGGAAGCUGGUGUGAGGUGAGGCUGAAGGUUGUGAGCCUCUCGUCACAUUGCUGGCCUCCAGGCGUCACCUGUCCAGCCCAGUCCUGCCGAAGCUAGAAUUCGGAGGAUGAGGCCCAGGGCCUUGUGUCUGUGAGCCCUCCAGGGGAUCCUGACUUCCCCGAGGUUUGAGAACCACUGCCUAAGGAACCACCCCUCUGCCUCCCUUCGCAGUCCGAGUCUUCAGAGUUGUUAACUUGUUGACUCCCUGAGCAAGAACAAGCACACUGUACUUUAUCAGUUUACCUUCCAGAAGUCAAGGCUGACCGUUUGUUGACACCAUAUGACUCUCUGACCUGGAGAGGGGUUUGCUGAAUCUCUCUCCCUGGGAGACGUGUGAGGGUUCAAGCUCUGUGGUGAAACGGCAGAACCACGUACUCAGAGGUCAGUCCAGGCAGAGGCCUUAGGCCAACCAGGUAGACUUCAUUUUAAGAGAGAGAACAGUUCAGAUAUGCUCAUUUUCCAUGCAUGGCCUCUGGGUGGAAAGCACCUGCUGGGGCCCAGUGGAUGACGGGAUUGGAUGGGUACAGACCCAGAAUCUGCAACCCUCUGCCUCCCACGCGUGCACCUGCCAUGUUUGUUGCCUGCAUGGAAUGAGCAGAUGCUAGGAGGAAGGCAAGUGGUGCUGGCCUGCCUGCUGACCUCAUCUUCCACACAAUGCCACCGAACAGAGCAAAUUAAUGAUCAUUCACUUAACCUGAAAGACUCAACCUAAUUAAUGAUUUUCAUGCAAUUUCCCGUUGUUUGCCCUUCCUUUCUGAAUGUAGAAUGCGUGUCAGUGGCAUCACUGAUUUACAAAAGGCAGUCUGCCUGCUGAGUAAUUGGGAAAGGCACUCCCCAGGGCAACACGGCUGUGAGCUGGAGCAACGCUAAAGUGGUUGUCGAUAAGGGGCCCGUCAUCCCUGCAAUGGUUCUCACCCCCAGGGUAAUUAGAUCAGAAUGGCGCUGCUCUGGGGCUGUGAGGACCCUGUGGGUUCACCAGUGUUGUUGACACCAGUGCUUCAUCGUACUCAGGAACCUUGUCAGGGUCUGGGGGUUCCCAGGCCUCGCUCGGUAGGUGCUGCCCUGGUGUGCCUGUGUGUGAGGCUGGCAGGGGACUGAUGUGAUAAAUGAGCCACUUGCAGCGUGUGUGAGCUGACUCUAAAGCACGACCUCCCCCCAUCCAGGUCAGGGCUUUUACAACACUCCCUGUCUCUGCCUCUCUGCCUAGGGGCCUGAGGGCUGGAGACUAGAUUGGGGCGCAUCCCAGGGAAACCCGCACACGGGCCGUCUGCACACAGCCUGCCUCUCACAUUGGUAGGGCUUGUAGCACAGGAGCGAGCACAGACUUGUGUCUCAGUAACUAAGUGGCAAACCUUGUGUCUAAGUGAUGACCCAAGCUAACCCACAAGUCGCCUGUAACAUGUGCUCUGUCCUCCUGUCUUGGUGUGUUGACCUCCGUGAUGACCUGAGAUGUGGCAGCAUGGAGGGAGCUCCCCUGGGCUCCUUGUUAAUGUUGGGGUGGCUGUGUGUGUGUGCAGGUCAGCAGUCUGCUCAUUCAAGUCCUGAUCGUAAGUCCCUCUCCUGGCUCGAGGCUGCUCCUUGGGCCCAGACCACUUUGAAAGAGCACACCCGCAGAAGAGACCCAAACAGAUUUAGGAUUCGGGCAGGAAAUCGUUGGGUGCCAGGAGCCAAGGACAUGGUCUAGACACAAAGCAUAAACUCUGGUUUGGCAGGGCUUUGAGGAAAGCCGGGUGAGGACUAGAGCAGGGGCUCCCUCUGCCUGUGUCUCAGGAGGUACUGGACUCAUGGAACGUUAGUGUGGUUUCAUGCACCUGGGGCCUCUGUCAGAGGGAGGGCUUUCAGUCCAUCCUAAGGAUCCAUGUGUACACCCUUGCAUGGACGUUAAUGAAACCGCUGUGUGGGCUGACGGCUACACCUACAUAUCACACCUUAGGCACGCUCACACUUGCAGCAGGUGUGUCCACUCUGCUGUUACAUAAAAGUUGACACUCUGUUUUCACCUCUCUGUCAUGCUGUGCCCCCUCCUGACUGCUGUCACAAAUCUUACACCAGCAGGCAUCUUGCUGCAGACACGUGUGUCUGGUAGCCUUGCUCGCCUGUGUGUACCUGUGCUGCUGUCUGCCACACUCAGUUCCCCAGCCAGCCACGCUUACUCCACCUGGCACGUUUUGCUUGUCAUCAGUUGGGAUCAUUGAUGCUCCAGGAUCCAGGUUAAAUCCAGUGGCUGAAAUAAGGCUUGGGAGUUUGGGGUACAGUGAUGCUACUGGGGUUCUACUUAGACUCAUCGGCUGAUAAUGAAAAUGUAUGGUAUUGCAUUUGCUAAUGAUGUAGGCAGCCUGCACACAAACACCCUGACACCUGCCGGGCCUCUGUAGGUAACGCAGUCCCCCGGAAGGUUGACACUUGGCCAUGGCUGCAUGUUUCAGGAGCGGCAUUCAGAAUUCCUUCAUCGUCUUACAUCAGGGAAGACAAUGUGAUGCUGCAUCUUGCUGGGAGCCUCAACUCAGCUGUCCCAUGACUCAGCCCCUUACUCUGAUCUCGAGGUCUGCGGGUCUCAGCCUCAGAAGGCAGCAGACACACACUGCUCCUGUUGUCACUUCAGUUAGCAGUCCUAUCUCUGGGAUGGCAAAGAUGUGUGUACUCAGAUACUUCUAGGUGAGGGGUAGUGUGUGUGCAGUGAGACACUCCCAGGUCAGGGCAGUUUGUGUGCAGUGAGACACUCCCAGGUCAGGUGUGUGUGUGUGUGUGUGUGUGUGUGUGUGUGGUGAGAUACUCCCAGGUCAGGUGUGUAGGUGUGUGUGUGUGUGCAUUGAGACACUCCCAGGUCAGGUGUGUGUGUGUGUGCAUUGAGACACUCCCAGGUCAGGUGUGUAGGUGUGUGUGUGUGUGCAGUGAGACACUCCCAGGUCAGGGCAGUGUGUGUAUAGUGAGACACUCCCAGGUCAGGGCAGUGUGUAUGUGCAGUGAGACACUCCCAGGUCAGGUGUGUGUGUGUGCAGUGAGACACUCCCAGGUCAGGUGUGUGUGUGUGUGUGCAGUGAGACACCCAGGUCAGGUGUGUGUGUGUAUAGUGAGACACUCCCAGGUCAGGGCAGUGUGUGUAGUGAGGCACUCCCAGGUCAGGUGUGUGUGUGUGUGUGUGUGUGUGUGGUGAGAUACUCCCAGGUCAGGUAUGUAGGUGUGUGUGUGUGUGUGUGCAUUGAGACACUCCCAGGUCAGGUGUGUGUGUGUGUGUGUGUGUGCAGUGAGACACUCCCAGGUCAGGUGUGUGUGUGUGUGUGUGUGUGUGUGUAUGUAUGUGUAUGUGCAGUGAGACACUCUCUGGUCAGGGCAGUGUGUGUAGUGAGACACCCAGGUCAGGUGUGUGUGUGUGCAAGGAGACACUCCCAGGUCAGGGCAGUGUGUAUGUAGUGAGACACUCCCAGGUCAGGUGUGUGUGUGUGUGUGUGCAGUGAGACACUCCCAGGUCAGGGGUGUGUGUGUGUGUAGUGAGACACUCCCAGGUCAUGUGAGUGUGUGUGUGUGUGUGUGCAGUGAGACACCCAGGUCAUGGCAGUGUGUGUAUAGUGAGACACUCCAGGUCAGGGCAGUAUAUGCAGUGAGACAGUGACUAGAUACAGCAUUUGCCACCAACAGCCUAGCCACAGAAAGCAGCUCAGGUAGGUUCAGCCCUGGCCUGAAGGUGCCGGGUGAACCCAGCACCUGGGCUGCACUCACACUUGUUGCUGGGCCUGAGAAUUCUUUCCUGCACUGAGAGUUGCCGCAGGGGUCCAGACUGAGCAAUCUCAACGUGAGACUCCUUCCCCAGCCCAGAGCCCCCUGGCGAGGGCAUCCACUGCAGCAGUCACUCAGGGAUGUGUUUUCAUCCCAGGGUCCGAGGCUCCGCUUCCCAGCCAAGUGACCCCAGUGGCCUGGCCUGUGGGAACCCUCUGCCUUGAAUUUCUGAACUCACCCAUUACCCAGCAGCAUGGUGGGAACUGCACCCACUGCUGGCAGGUGAGAAAAAGAAGUCAAAGGUAUUGGAAGGGAGGAAACAGAGCAGUGCGUAUUUGCAGAUAAUGUGGCUGUCUGGGUAGCAAUGUCUAAGAAGCACUGAUCAAGGAAAAGAUAAAAGCCCCCUAGACCUAGGAAGUGAGCACAGUGAGGGUGCAAGGUCAGCUCACAGAAGUCGGUAAUGUACAAGGGAUCCUCCUUGGGUACAUGGAAAAUAUGUAUUAUGAAAAAUCAUGCAUGGAUUUCAGAUGUUUUUGUACCAAAAUGCAAUUUUAUUUGUGCUUUUCCUUGAACUUUAUGAAGUGUUCUCAUGUCUGCAUACUGGUGAUAAGCUAUAAUGAAAAAUAUGAUUUAUUAUUAAAAAGCAUAUGGUAUUCAGAUAUGUACUUAAGACAUAUACAAGAAAACACCGAUGAAGUAAUCAAGACCUAAAUAAAUUGGAAGACAUAUUUUAUUCAUGGAUUGGGAGGCUCAAAGAUACCCAUUGUCUCCAAAUGAUAUACGAAGUAAAGAAAUUUCUCACAAAAAUCCCCCCAAGUUUUUUUGUAGACACAGAUAAGGUUUUCUAAGAUUGAUGUGGACAGACCUAGAUCCUGGAAUAGCCGAAGUGAUCUUGACAAGGAAGAAUAAAGCAGGAGGAAUGAGCGCCCCGUGUCACAGCUUACCAUAGCUGCAGUAAUGAAGGCGCUCUGUUACUCACAGAGGCAUAGACACAUGGAUCAAUGGGACAGAAUAGAGAACCCAUAAAUAGAGCUGGAUAAAUAUGCUCAAUUGAUUUUUGACGAAGGUGCAAAAGCAAUUCCAAGGAGGAAAGAGAGCCUUUUCAACAAGAGCAGUUGGGUAUCCAAAGCCAAAACUAUGAGCCUCAACCUGAACCUCAGGCCUUGUACAAAAAUUCACUCAAAAUGGAUCGAGAGGUGCAAUGCCAGAUGUAUAACCAUGAAACUUUUCUGGAAGGAGAAAAUAUCUCCGGGGUUUAGGGCUAGACAAAGAACUCAGGCUUGACAACAGAAGGAAAAUUUGACAAAAUAGGAUGUCAUCCAAAUGAAAAAGAAAAGCAUGCGGCCUGUGGCAGGCGCUGUUAAGGAGAUGAAACACUGGGAAAGAUGCGCAGUCCCCAUUUCUAAGAACACUUAAAACUCACAAGUGAAGGCAACAAACCCAUUUGAAAUGGGUGAAUGAUAGGGAGAGAUGUUUCACCAUAGAGGAGACUCGAUGACAAAUGAGCAGCUGAGAUAGGGUUCGGAAGUCAUCAGGCACAGGGAAACGCAAGUGAAGAUUUACAAAUGAGGUAUCACGAUCUCCUAUCAGAACGUAAAGUGAAAAAUGGUGGCAGCUCCCAGAGCUGGCGAGGCUGUGGAGGGAGCUCUCAAGCUUCGGCAGUGCAGAUGUGAAGUGGCACAGUCACUCUGGAAUGCAGGGCCACACAGCCCAGUGAUUGCCGUCUUGGGCCCUGGUCCCAGAGAAACAGAAACUUGGUUUGCACACAACCCCGCGUGCAGUGUUUGCAGCAGCUCUACUUGUAAUAGCUAAGCAGUCCUUCAGUGGACGGCGGUUAAGCUGUGGUGCAUCCGUGCCACGGAGUAGUACUCUGCAGUGAUAAAAGAACGUGCUGUGGAUACACGCACCCCCGUGUCCUCCACAAUCCCUGGGGAAUUCUGCUGUGUUAACAAAUCCCCAGAUUGCCUUCUGUUUAGUUCCAUGUACGUUUGAAAUGCCAAAGUCUUGGAAACAGCGAGGAGUUGAGAAGGUGCUGGGGGUUAGGGAUGGUUGUGGGGCAAGAAAGGCAAGGUCAGAAGGGAGAGGGGUGUGGCUAUGAAAGGGCAACACCAGGGAUCCUUGUGGUGAUGGAGAUGGGAAACGCUACAUGAGAUGAAGUUCUCUGGAGCUACACACACACACACACACACACACACACACAAGUAAAACUGGGGAAACCUGAAUAAAAUUGGUAGGUUGUAUCAGUGUCAACUUUCUGAUUGUAAGAUUGUACUACAGUUCUGUAAGAUGUUACUUCUAGGGGAGGCUGGGUAAAGAUAUAUGGACUAUCUCUACAUUAUUUCCUUUUUAAAAAAGUUUUUUUAUUUAUAUAAGGGGAAUGAAUUUCCUGUAUUUCAUGUAUAGUUAUUAAGAACAUAAUGAUACUUCCCACGUUACCCUCUCUCUCUCUCUCUCUCUCUCUCUCUCUCUCUUUCUCUCUUUCUUUCUUUCUUUCUUUCUUUCUUUCAGAGGCAGAGUUAGAGAGAGAGAGAGACAGAGAGAAAGGACUUCCUUUUCCGUUGGUUCACCCCUCAAAUGGCCAGUGCGCUGUGCCAAUCAGGAGCCAGGCGCUUCCCCCUGGUCUCCCAUGCGGGUGCAGGGCCCAAGCACCUGGGCCAUCCUCCACUGCCUUCCCGGGGCCACAGCAGAGAGCUGGACUGGAAGAGGAGCUACUGGGACAGAAUCUGCGUGCCAGCCAGGACUAGAACCCCGGGGUGCCAGCGCUGCAGGCGGAGGAUUAGCCUAGUGAGCCAUGGCGCUGGCCCCUCCCUCCUUUCUUAUUUUUCUUUUAAUUUUUGCAAAGACACACUCUGAGUUUACUUAAUAAUCACAAGCUUAAUCCUCCACUAAGCUAAACAAUUCAACAGGUAGCAAGUAGAAAAACCACUGUGCCUCUGUAAUAUAGACAAGGGCUAUAAAUAAUCUCAAAAUGUCAGUUUCAUUCCUUUCUUAAAACUGCAUGCAAGUCUAUUAUGAUCUCAGAAAGUUCAGUGGGAUCCUGUAUAGUGUAUUUUCAAAGUAUUAAUCAGAUCCUACAUUGAAAUUUUCAGAAAAGUACAUAAAGACAAAGCAACAUAGCAUAUAAAACUAUUGUUUGCAAAGUUGAUAGACUAACAGAAGAUGGCUUCAUAUGUGUCAGUAUAUUAGAUGAUUCCAUAUAUAUAUAUUUUUUUUUAAUUUAUAGAAGAGUCAGAGUACUCAAAUCUGUUGGUGCACUCCCCAUGUGAAGCAGUCAGGAGUAGGCUGGGUUGAAUCCAGAGCUCCCAAGUGCAUGGCAGGGAUUCAGCUACUUAGGCCAGCGUCUCUGCCUCCCGGGGUCUGCAUUAGCUGGCAGCUGGAAAUAGGAGCUGGGCUAAGAAUCCAGUGAGGGCAUUCAGAUGUGAGGUAUAGGUGAAUUAACCAGCAUCUUAACUACUAGGACAAGUAUCUCCACCAUGAUGCUAUGCAUUUUUGAAAUGAAAAACAAAGCUUUAGUUUUCUGACAGAAGUCCAAAAGUUGGGGCUGGCAUUGUAGUAUAACAGGUUAAGCUACUGCCUGUGAUGAUGGCAGCCCACAUGGGCGCCAGUUGGAGCGCUGGCUGCUCCGCUUCAGAUCCAGUUCUGUGCUAAUGGCCUGGGAAAGUAGUGGAAGAUGGCCCAAGUAUUUGGGCCCCUGUACCCUUGUGGGAGACAUGGAAGAAGCUCCUGGCUCCUGGUUUCAGCCUGGCCCAGUCCUGGCCAUUGCAUCCAUUUGGGGGAGUGAACCAGUGGAUAGGUCUCUCUCUAUCUCUCCCUCCCUCCCUCUCUCUGUAAUGCUGCCUUUCCAAUAAAUAAAAUAAAUCUUAAAGAAGUACAAAGGUUAUAGAGGUAUCUACAAUUUUCAAAUAAACCCAGAGAAUAAAAACAUUAACUGAGCAUUUGCCUUUUGAAAGACAGCUCAGGCUGUGGUGUUGCUUUCUUUUGCCUCCAUGUGUUCCUUGUAUCAUUUAACUUUCAGGCUGGUGGAAUGACAGUUUCUUCUCAGGGAGAAUCCCCCCACCCAAGCCCUUGGGUGUGAUGUUUCUAUGAUGGGAGUGAGCCUGUCUGUACAGGUGUGCUUUUGGUUUGAGAUGAGGUUCUUGCACAGAAUUUAACAAGUUAGUGCUCAACAGGCUAUAACGCUUCAGGCUUCCUCUAUGCCUCGACAGUCCUGAUUUGAAAUUUCAGGUGUUGCCAAGAGAUAUUUGUAGAUAAAUAUAUAGAUGUCUCUGGAUCCAGAUUAUCCAAUCCUGUCUUUGGAUAGCUCAUUCAUUUUCUUACAAAGACUUCUCUCUUCCUUCUCAAGAGUAGAGCAGUAGAAAGUCCUGUAUGCCUUUCCUUCAAGACCAAACUGUUCCUCUUGCUUGUUUCUGUUAUUUAUUUAUGUAUUUAUUUAUUUAAAAGGCAGAAGGAGUGAUCUUGUAUUUCCUGGCUUACUCUGCAGAUGGCUGCAACAGCCAUGUCUUGGCUAGGGCAAAACUGGGAGUUAGGAACUCCAUCCUGGUCUCUCACGUGGGUAGUUGGGACCCAAGUACUUGGGCCGUUGUGCACUGCCUUCCCAGAUGCAUUAGCAGGAAGCUGGGACAGAAGCAGUGUAGCUGGCAUUUGUACUGGUACCCUCGGAAGUGGGUGCGCUGAGACGUGUGCCACAAUGCUGGUCCCCCAGACUCUGUUGUUGACUGUAGCGCAGUGACAAGGCUGCUCUCAGCCUAACACAUUGUUCCCUUAGUUGUCUCUCAUGGACCCUCGUGGCUUUGUUGGCCUGCAGUGGUAGCCGCUCAAGGUCCUAGGAGUUGUGCUCACCUUCUUCUCUAACCUUGUGAUUUAAGUGAGAGUGUCAUCUUCCUGUAGAAAUAUCCCUGAACACAGGCACUGGCCCCGAGAGCCUGGAAGCUACCAGAAUUUGUGCUGCCAGGGCUUAGUCAUUGCCUGGCACCUGGUCCCAGUGAUCCUCAAGACUGGGCACCCCUUUUACUUAUAAUUUUUCUGAGCUAGGGCAGUGUGUUCCUUGACUGAGUGAUGUCACGCUGAGUUUUCUACACAUGGGUUCAAGUGUGUUGAUUCAUAUUCUUCCCCGAGAUCAAUAAAUGCUUUCUAUAUUUUUUCUCUGUUGUGUCUUACUCUUCUUAGCUAUAAAGAGAGAGGUCAGAAAAGCACAUCAUUUUCUUCUGUUCCCUAAGUUUCCUGUUGUGUCCUAGACAAGAUCAGUUGCAGAUUCCCUUUGUGUGUCUGGAGAGGAUCAAGUGCUUCUCCGGGACUGGCAGCACAGGGGGUGCUGCAGCCCAAGUGGCCCUUGCUGCCAUUCUUUGCAGUGCACGAACUCCUGUUGUGGCUGAAGGAGUUGAUGUCACUGCCAAGGCCACGUCCUGCAAUAUGAUUGAGUCAGGACCAAUGCGUGAGUGUAGAUUUACCAUCGCUCAUAAAUUCCACCAUAGCGUCUAGGUAAAUCCACUGUCUGGUUAAGAGUUGCUGUGUAGUAAGUAAUUAAAUUGACUGUAAUAUAUGUGUAUGUGCUUUCUGCCCUUUAGCGAAACAGACUCAAAAUGUUCUUAGGAGUGAUUUUUUAAAUCUCUGCACUUAGGUGCUGCAAUUCCACCUGAGUCACAAGCAGGUGAUAAUCCAAAGAGGAUUAGUUUUUCUGUCUUAUACUAGAGGUGUCUUGCAAAUAGGUGUGGUGCUUAUUCUAAGGUCUCCCUUGGGUGGAUCUGCUGGGGAGCUGUCUGUACAGAGUGUGUGCAGCUAUGGUCUCCUCCAUCAUUGCUGUUGGCCAGAGCCCCCCUCAGCUGUACCAGCCACGUGCCCCUUGUAAGUCUUUCUUGUUGGAGUCAUUCAGGGAUGCUCAGGUUCACUGGCACUGGUCAGAAAGUCAGGCAUUUCUGUUUGCUCAUAAGGGAGCGGGGAGAAUGAGAAGAAGAAAACAGCCCGGCUCGUGCACCAUUGCAUUUUCGGUAUCACGGGCUUUGUCAAGAAAUUGGAACGAAUGCUUUUACUUCAUUGGAAGUGGAUGGGCAAAUGUCCAGGUUGCAGAGCUUUGUGGUUCCUGACUGCAGGUGCAUUUGCUUCACAGCAGGUCCCAAGGAAUGGGAAAGGAGAGACUCGGCAGAUGGGUGAUCUCGGGGGCGUGAGCUUAGGCAUUGGUGGUUUGUCCUCUGGCCGUGCUGGUGGUGCUGCUGUUGCUUUGCUCCCAGUACUUCUAGGGUACACCCUAGGGACUGCUGUGAGCCUGAGGCCAUCACUGGGCUCGGUUACUGCUGUUCCCUCACUGUGCGGAUGUGACUGGGUGGGUGGGUCUGUGGCUUUCACCCCAGCGGAAACCUGUUAGUGUCCUUGGCAUUUCUCAACACCUUUCAUCAGGUUGGGCGAGAGCUGCCAGCUUCUCAGAGAUCCUUGUUUUGUGAUGAUGAUGCCAGGGGUUCGUUAGGAUUUGCAGACCCUGUGAUAGGAUAAGGCUUAACUCAUAAUCAAGGAAUAAAUCAGCCCUCUGUCUUCGGAAGACCUCCUCCAGGAGGCACGGUCAGCUGAUGGGGCUCAGCUCUAGCACAGGGCCACGACUUGCAAAUUUCCAUUUCUUUUCCUAAACAGCAGCAUUUGUGUUUGUCCUGAAUGCAAUUUCACCAAGAACCUUAUGCCCAAAACUGAUGACAGCAGAAAUUUCUAAAGAGAUUCUGCUCCCUGCCCUCUACCAUGGACUUUGGAACCCCAGGGCUUGCGGUCCCCUGCUUUGAAGGCUUUUGGGUUUGUGUCCUGCUGUACUGUCUUCAGAGCCCAGGGGUAGGGUGCCCACCAGGCAUGCAGCUGGCUGGGAGUAAAGCCUUCUUGUUCCCACUCCUGAAGUUCUGAACUGCAUCUCUUGAAGCUACUGUGGAGUCCCUGUUGGGCCCCCUGGUCUCUAACCUUGUUAGGAACCCUUGGUCAAGAUUCCUCAUGUUGUGCAUGGAUAAAGAAGGGAGGCUUUUAAAGGGGAGAGGGGCAGCCUGCUCAGUGCCAGUUGUCCACUCCUUCUUUGGUAAACAUUUGUUGUUUUACAUGGCUCUUGGCCUCCCAGGGGUUACACUCCUGAUACAAAGCUCAGAAACGUGACUGCUCUGGUAGGUGAGGUGUCAGGAUAUGACCGGGACACACGGGAGUGAAAUGUAAGCUGAAGGACAGGUUGGAGGUGGAGAUCAGGGGAAAACAGGGGAGGUGGAGGAACAGCUGUGCAAAGGCCCAGGGAUGGGGAGGUUGUGAGCCCUGGGCUGAACAGCUUUAGGAAUGAGAAUGGGGCUGUUAGCCGACCAGGCAGGGCUCAUCAGUGACGUCCAAGGUUUGGACUUAAUCCUGAGGGAGGUGGGAGCAUAGCAGGGCGGGCCAUGGCCCUGGGGGUUGCUUCUGUAGCAGUGGGGUCCUGGCGCGUGCACGUGGCACUUGGCGGCACAGCAUCACUUACUGAGGAUAAAUGUGGACGCCUGUGCAGCCUGACACAUAGGUCCUCAGGGCAAGAUGAUCAGGCAGCGACGUGUGUGGCAAACAGGCUGUUUGGUCAAUAGUUUAAUUCUGGCAGCAGCUGAAUGACAAUAUAAAGAAUGCAGUGGCAUUUCCACUGCAAAGUCUGCCAUCAUUUUCUGCUUGACAUGAGGAAAAUAAAGGCUUCUCAGCUCCAGAAAGAAUUAGCCUGAACUCCACCUGUCAGUCUCUGGGUGAAGAAUCAUCAUGUGGCAGGAUUGUAGUUGUGCUGAGAAGGACAUGGAGCAGUAGGGUGGGCUGCCCACACCUGGAUCUCAUUUCUGGAAACUCCGCCCGUCUUCAGGGUUUAACCAUGGUGUCCAGGUCCUUCCGUGCUGGGCUUGGCUUUGGAUUGGUCCCACAGUCCUCAUUCCAGGAGCUGUGAGGCUGGCUCCACGCAGGAAGGUGGCACCUGCCACCAUUCCUCGUGCUUCCUGCGUUGGGGGGCUUCCUCUUUGUUUUGCCAAUGGCUGGACUUCCUUUGAUUCUGAGCUUCUCAAGGGAGGGGAGGAGAGUGCUCUUGCUUCCACACAUGCCUUCCCAGAUCUUUAGUCUUUCGCUUUGUCUUUGCUUUAGCACAGUGGCCCUCAAAAGUUGGUCCCUCCACAUACCUGCAGGUGCAGGGCUCUACCUCACACAUACUGAGUUGGCAGCUAUGAGGAUGGGGCCCAGAGACCCAUGUUUUCGCAGCCUGCCUGGUGACUCUGGUAUAUGUUCAAGUGGAGAACCAUUGCUCUUUCAAAUGCUUAUGCUGAGGCACCAGGCUUCCAUACAGUGGAUAUGUUUGAGGAGGGGUGCACAUGUCUGAACCAUGCAGGGAGGGAGGUGUGCAGAAAGUAAUUAUAGGGCACCCCUUGGUCGGGGACAACUGAAGCACAGGAGUUCUUUCCCAUCGUGGAGUACCCAGUGGGGGUGCUAUUGCUGUGAGCACGUGCUGUGCGCCAGCCGCCUGGCCCAGCCCUGUGAUGUUACUGCACUGAGGAAGUUAGAUUUACUGUCUGCACUUCAUGAUGGCUAGAAGUGGGGCCCAGAGCAGUUAGCUGAACUGCUCAGGGAUGAAGUGGCAGAGAUGGAACCCGAGCUCAGGUUUGCACUUGACCUCUAUGCCCUGACCCUCAUCGUGUGCUGCUCAUGUCACUGCCCGGCUGGCCAGUUCUGGAAUGCCGAGGUAUCCUGUGUGUGGCUGGCCUGGUCCAUGUGUUUGCAUACUGAGCCCUGCAGAGAGGUUGAGGAACAUGACGGGCUGCCAUGAUCUUGGGGGAGAAUGGUAUUUAAUCUUCUCUCCAAGAGUAACUUCAGAAUCACAAACAGGAACCAAGAAAAUGAAGUGAGCAAUUUCGCACUUGAAAUGCAACACAUGUGAAUGACUGCCUAUUAAAUUGGGCUGGGCCUGUGCUCCCAGCCUCCUGUGACUGAGGCUAUUAGAAUGAGGAGCGAAAUUGCAGAGGGGAGGCUGGUUAAUUGUCUUCCCAGGUUGUUGCAGCAACCUGCGUGAGGGACACGGUUCCCACGCUGCCUGUGCAUCUCUCCAUGGGAUUUCCUCUUAUGAUUAAACAGGAAGCAAUAGCAGGGAGGUGUGGGGAGGCUGGGCUGGGACUUGGCAGCCUCAUGAAGCCUGGAGUAUGAGGCUCCUCUGUUAGCAGGCGUAGCAGAAAUGGCUUCUGGAUCUCAGCUUGUUGCUCCCAGCUUGAUCAGGAAUGCUUUUUCAAGUUUCCUGCUGGUUCUGAAAUCCACAGGUAGGUGAGCGCUUUGGGACUGGGGCGUGAACUGGCCUUUUGAUUUUAUACCAGCUUCCUUUCCCAACAUUCUGUAAGGAUUUCUGUUUGGCUGUUUCCUGUUUAUGGGCGUUACUUUUGCAGUCUGCACCUGGAGUGCUUGUCACUCACUCCACGGAAGAAUUUGGCUGUGUAGUGAGUCACAUGUUCCUAUAGACCCUGUCUGCAAGGUAAGUAGUCCUCUGUCUAUCAAGUAUCUUACUUUCUAGCUCUGUAUUGGAGACAUCCAGCUGUGGAGGAUAUUGCCCAAUGAUUUUUGUCUCCCAAUUAGCUUGUAGCCAAGUCCCAAUAACAUAUUAAGCCAAGGGCUUUUCUUGUUAAUUUCCCCCUAGAAAAGAUGUGGCAAAGCUACAGGGAGGCUGAACUUAGCUAAAGAACAAUGCUGAGCUCUGCUGUUCUUCCUUUCAAAUAAUCAGCUGCUCCCUUAGAGAAUAACAUUGUUUAGCAUCUGUAACAAUGUUGCAUUGUUAGAGGAGGUUGAAAACUUUGUGGCAUUAUUAGCUGGGAGAUAACACCGGUGGUGUAGAUUUCAUGAAGUUGCUCUUGAAACUUGUCUUAUUAUCCAGCAGGUGAGCACCCUAAGGUGGUCCUGAGUUUUCAGCUCCAACUUUGAAGUAACCUUGACAUGAGUAGGAGGAUGCUUCAAGAAAUUUAUGGAAGAUCACAUAUGCUGAUGCAAAAACAACUUGAAAUCUGUGCUCAGUUUUUUCAUUUUACACGUUUUCCAUAGACUUUUUAAAGAUCUCUCAUCUGCAUGAUUUGAAAGUGUUGUUGUGCCAGCUUAAAGUUGACCGUUUUGAUUCCACUUUUCCAUGAACUUUUUGAAGUAGACUCACACCUCACCAGCAGAUGCCCGUGAGCAACUUCACAUUCUCUGUCUCCAUGUCUUUGUUCAUUUGCAUCCUGGCAGGCAGGCAGUCUGAGCUUUGAUGUGUUUGUCAGCUGACACACAGUUCUUGUUUUUGGAAAGGUCCUUGCCUUUGCUUGGGCAGCCUUACCUCUUGGAGCAGUUCCUUGAAUUACUGGUGCAUCUUGUUUCAUAAACAAGAAUAAGGGGUGUUCACACUUGGGUCUCACGAAAGUGGAGAUUACAUGGGAAAUUAAGACUGCCCCAAAUAAGAAAUGAUUCACCUCAAAAGGGUGGACCCUGGAAUUAAGACAGUCAACUGGUUGUGAGGAGAAAAGAAAAUGAAAGGACACAAAUGAAAUGCUGAAAACAUCAUCAAAGACAGUGCUUUAAAAACUGUGUCCUUAGAAAUCUAUGCUAUUUUCAACCCUGGGGAGCAGGCAGCAUGCCUUUCAAUAGAGAUCUGUUUAGUUGUCACUCUUUUAAUAUACUGACUUAUUUUUCAUAUUACAGCACAUUUUAUACAGGGGCUGCCCUUAAUUUUUCAUUUUUAAAAAAUAUUUAUAUGACAGAGAUCUUCCAUCUGCUGGUUCACUCCCCAGAUGGCCACACAGAGCUGGGGCUGGACCAAGCUGAAGCCAGGAGGCUGGAAUUCCAUUUGGGUCUCCGAGUAGGUGGCAGGGGCCCAUGUACUUGGGCCAUCUUCUACUGCUUUCCCAGGUGCCUUAGUAUGGAGCUGGAUAGGAAGCAGACCAGUCAGGACUCAUACUGGUGUUCCAAUAUGAGAUGCCAGCCUCAGAGGCAGUGGCUUAACCUGCACCACAGCGCUGGCCCCAGGAGGCUACUCUUACCUUAUCUUUUUUAUUUCUCAUGCUGGGGUUGCACUCACUGCCAUGACCAGGAAAAAUUUUUACAGAAACAAUGGCAGUUUACUCCUGUUCCCAGCCUCUCUGUUCCCAUCCUGGCCGGGCUUUAUCUUCUUUCCUGCUUUAUUUAUUUUUUCUAUAGUACUUAUGCUUAAUCAAUUGCACUUACUUGCUUGUUUAUCAACUGUCUGCUACCAGGAGAAUUCCACAUAGAAUAGGAAUUCUUCUCUGUUUUAUUCAUUACUCUAGACUAGCAUUUCUUGAAACAUGUUUUUGUUAUCACUCCCCUAAGGAGAUUUCUUAGAUUUUUUUUCCUAAUUGCCUCCCCAGUUCAUGAAAUUUUAGUAGCAUGAGUAUACCAUGUGUCUUUGUAUGCUGUGAGUACAUCUGCUUUAUACACCAGGAGAGAAGGCCUUUUUCACACCUCACAGACCAAUUUUCAGCCCCCUGCCAGACAGCGUAAGUUACCCUCUUGGUGGCGCAUGCUUCCAACCGCGGUCAGCCACGGAGCUUGGAGCACGGGAGGUGCUCAGCGACCCUGUGCUGAAAGUUUGUCCCCACGAAAGCUGCUGAACCCACACGUCAACAUGAUGCUUACAGCUUGCAUGUACUUACCUUUAGAAUUUUUUUCCAUGAUGUUUUUGGCAGUAGAAACCAAACAUUGGUGACGACUUAACUGUUGAGAGAAGGGCACCCCCACCCCGGGGUGUGUUAAGGUCUCACUUUUCUUCUGAGAGAAUCAUUCAGGGAGGGGAUGUUCUAAUCAGGUUCUUGUUUAGUCCCAUAGGCAGUUAUCCCUAAUGACCAACGCACACACCAGAAGCCAAAGCACAGAUAUACCAAAUGCAGCUACUGGUGUUGGGCCAUGUUCCUCCUUAAGCUGUGAGACUAAAGCUGUACUGGUUGUCAGUUCUUAGGAGUCAUAGUCCUCAAUAGUACACAACUGGGCCCUCAGGAGUCGUGGUCCUCAGUAGUACUCAGCCGGGCCCUCAUGAUGACCAUUAUCAAACAGAAGUUUUCUCCACCUACCCUGGAGUAGGGGUGGACCCAAAGGGAUGCACUUAAAUCAGUCUCUGUAGAGUGCCUGGAUUUGCCCAGCUGCUCUGUGCGUCUUCAGAUCACCUGCUGUUCUGAAGCCACCAUGUCUCCUGUCCUGGUAGACUGUGUGAGUGGUAUGAUAAAAGGCCAGCAGUUUUAUGUGUAUUCAAUGAAACAGGGCGGCUCAAGGCUUCCUGCUGUCUGGUGUGGUGGGCACAAUAACAGAUGCAGGACAGUUGGUGUGUGUCCAUUCAGAUGGCAGACACCAGGGGGACCCUCUCCAGUAGAGUCUGAGCAGGCUUCUUCAUCAGACGCAGGGUCAGCCUUGUGGAGGGACAGGUGCUGCUUCCCCCAGCCUUGGGAGGGAGAGCCCAUUGUGCCUUUCCACCUUAGGAUGCACAGAUGUUGUGGGAAAGGAUGGGUUGUUUGGAAGGCACUCAGAUCCGAUGUUUAAAGUUGGAAUUUCUAAGGCAACAGGCUAUGUGGAGGGAACUUACGGUGAAUGCUUUUUAAAACUGAGUGCCUCCCCUCAUUUAUGUUUUUGCAUUGCUAUUUGGAUUUUUUCUAUCCCAGGUUUCCCCAAAGUGAUGCACCCUUGUCUAAAGCAGAUGUGUGUCUGCUGCCUGUGUUGCCCUUGCUGGAGUUUUCCUGUGGUGGAGUGCUAAGUGAGGAAGGAAUUUUAAGAGAAUAUUUGCAAAAAUGCCUUGGAAACAUGGAUAUGAAGUCAAAUAUCUUAAUUAGAAAAAAAAAAAAGCCUGGGAUUUUUCAUUGGAGACUCUUGAACGUUACCAUUUUCCUCUCUGGAACGCAGAUGGCCAAGAGAAGCGGGGAUUCCGACUGGACAGCAGUAGCGCUCAUUUCCCCGCAUGCUCUUGGUUGCUCACACUUGCAUCUGGUGAUGUUUGUUCAGCAGCUCCUGCAUGUGGGUCCCUCUGCAAGGUGUUGGGAAGGCGGAGGUGAAUGUGAGUCAGCCCUGGCCUUUACAAAGUGGCCUCACCACUCAGGGUUCUCACAGGUAACCAGGUGGCAGUGGAGUUCAUAGUUGUUAGGAGACUGGAGGUAGGUCCCAGCCCUGGGUGACUGCCCAAAUGACGUCUAUGCUCUGUACAUCUGUAAAGUAGGGUUAAAUUGGCAACAACCUCACAGGGAUCCUUGAGGAGUAAGUAAUCUGAAUCCAUGCACAGUACAAGCCUUGCACCUGGACAGGCUUAGGAUGUGGUGUCUGUUCCCAGGAGGCAGAGACCAGGCUGUAGGGCACGCCUCCUAGUGCAGCCAGGGGAGCACGCCUGGGCAGGACAGCUCACGUGAAAGAACGAGUUAUGUGCACACAGAACUGACCGCAGCACUGCUUUGGUGGAAUGAGGGAUUGACAGUUAUGCAAUGUUCAGCACGUGACUUUGAAGUCACUAACUCUGCUGCAUUGCUGUCUCUGCACCCCCCACUUCCUUCCCCCCUUUCUGUCACUCUGGCCACUCAGGGGUCAAGAGAUGCGGGUGACCCCAGGCCAGCCCUUCAGAAUCUGCUGUGGAGGCAGACCCCGUCCUGGGUGCAUAGCUCAGGGAUCAGAAUCUAGAGUGAGAGAAUCCACAGGCUGUGGCUCCAUGAAGGUCCAUGUUUUUAGGCGACUUCACUUGUGUUGGGAGGCAGGGCAGCUCUGGAAGACAGGACUGGGCCCCUGUGAAGUCACUGUGUCUCUCCAAGCAAAAGGCAGGACUGGUUCACCUUCCAUAAACCUGGGAUUGUCAGGAGCCAAGAUGGCAGCGUCCUGAGCACUGAGCGUAGGGGCCCAUCCCGGGCAGACAUGUGUUGGUGUGGGGGUCACCGUCACAGCGAGCACGGCUCUGACCAGGUGAGCUGUGGAGCGCUGUGUGCUGUUAGGGUUUCUCCAUUUCUGUGGGUUUUUGGUGAUAGGGCCUGCCUUCUUACGGCAUCCGACCUGGGAUUUUGUUUGGCAGUAUUUUGAGCUUCUGUUCAUUUAGAGAAGAAAAGGCAUGAUUCCUAAUUGGUAUAAUUUUACCUUCAUGAAUCCAGAAACACAAUUCCUAGAAUAAUGAGUUCCCCUUUAAGAGAGAAACUUCUCUGCAGAAGUGCCAAUUCUUAGCUCAUUAGGCCCAUCCUGGCAGGAGGAUGCAUGGCUUUCCCUGGGGCAGUGCUGUGAACACUUGGGGUACUCAAACAUUUUCCAGUCCCUGAUGUCCCCAGUCAACUCCUCAUCCUACGACUAGGCUUCACUAUUUAAUGAAAGGAACUUUGGGGCUCCCACUGUCAUGAUCUUGCUGACUCACCACACUGCAAACAAUUUGAGUGAUUUUUAUCCCCUUAGCAUCAUUAUUCAUGUUCCCACAAAGAACACCGUGUGUUGGUGUGAACAGGUCACCAGACAAGCAGAUAGGGUGACGAAAGCAUUUCCUGGGUACAGAUUCGUCAUCUGUCACCUACUUGGAGAGAUUCCAGGUGAGCUCCCGGGGAAGCAAGCUUUUUGUCAAACAGGGUUCCUCUCACCCCUCCGUAAGUCCCCUCCCUGCCAGGGCUUAAAAAGACCAGUGCAUUUGUGGGAACCCCGAGUUUUCUGACUGCUGCCCUUCUGCCCUCGUAACACAGCCUGGGGAGCUGCCAUCUUCCUCACUGGCCAUUGGCUUAGUUAGUUUUCUUGAGCCACACAGAAUAGCUCAGACUGGGUAAUUUGUAAAGAGGUUUACUCGGCUCCCCGUGCCGGACGCUGGGAAGGCGAGAGUGUGGCCCAGGCCUGUGCUCGGUGUCUCGGGCGGGCUCCCUGCUGCAUCGUGACAGUGGAGGGGAUACCAGGGAAGACUCAGCGAGUGCGCUAGCUAAGGAUGCUCCUCUUAGCCACUCACGGCCUCCUGGGGCCCCGAUUCCCAAAGGCUCCACCUCAUUCUGCAAAUACGUCUAACAUAUAGGAGUUUGAGAACCAAGUUUCCAACACAUGAACUUUGGGAAGAUGUGUUCAAGCCAUAGUAAUGAUCCUUCGUGUCGCCAUGGCUGUUGUGGACAUUUGAUGUGGUCAUCAUAGGUAGGUCUCUUUGUUUAUUUCUGAGCAGUUAGAAAGGGCAUCCUCCAUUGCAUGGGGAGACUUACCUUCAGCCUGCUGGGAUGGAAGAGUCAAGAGACCCAGAUGCCACUCGUGACUCUGUCACUCUCGAGCUGAGAACCUGAAAGAAACCACACUCCUCCAACAGGAUGCAGGCUUCCCAGCAAAGAUGAAGGCAGUGGGUAGGGUUUCAUCUCAGACUCUGAUUAUCUGGAAGCUGACCUGUGCUCACACGUAGAUGGGGAAGAGUUCAGUGAUUGAUUAGCUCUGUCUACCAUAGGUGUGGAAGUGCUGGGCUGCUGGCGUCCUGGAGCCAGAUAAAGCCAAAGUUCCUUCUUCUUCCGGCAUCCUGUGCCUAAAUACCCACACAGCAGCAGCAGGAUUUGCAGGGCAGGACGCAGAGUAGUGGGUGGGGUGUGGAUGGAGUCAAGCAGCCUGGUUUCUCUCGUAGCGUUUCCGCUGAUGAGCUUUGGCACCUGUGAUAAGUCACUUCGUCUCUCUAGGCUGUAAUUUCCUCCUGAGUAAGAGGAGGAUAUAAGGAGAGGAGAUGCGGCUGCGUGGGGUGCUGCUCGCUCAGUGCUCCUGCAGCCCCCCGGCUCUGGGGAGCGAUUUGGAGGGAAGCCGAGUGGUGCUUUGUAGUCGCUGGCAGCAUAUUUAUUUAUUCAUUAUGUUUGAGAAGAGCCUCUCAUUCCAGGAAGAAAUGCUCCAGUCAGCUGAGUUUGUUAGUUUAUCCCGACUCCCAGUGGCUUCACGUGGACCUCCUUGCCUUGUCCUCUGUCCUAGGGGUCACGUCUGAGUUCAACACCACUCAUCCCAAGUCAGCCUUCACAAGCCAGACCCGCUUCCCACCCUUGGGACUGUUGUUGCUGUCCUCAAGCCUCUGACCUGUCCGAUGCUCGUUUGUAAGCCACGUGUCUGCCCACGUCGUGGUGCGGAGUGGUGCUGGACUCCUCACCCCUGCUGCUCCCCGCCAUGCCACUGCAACAUGCUGCAUGCUUGCAGCUCCAGUGCUUUGCCUGUGCCUCCUCUUCACAGUGGAGUGCCCUCCCCCCUCCUUUUCGCUGGAAUUUGCCAUGUUUUCUCAAAGACAGAAAAAUGCCACCACUUUGAAGCCUUUCCCAGUGAUGGCUUUGCAACCCCCCUCUCCCACUCCUCCAGGCAGAGUGGGCUGGAGUUUUGAUCUCCUGUCCUCUCGGCUCUCAUCUCAUACUUAUUUAUUUUACUGAUCUAAGGGUACCCUCAUGAUGUUCAUGAAAAAUGGAAUUAAAAGGCAACUUUAUUUUGGUGCAUACUUUUUAAAAUCUAAUCAUAGUUUUUUCAGAGUAUUCAUUUUCAUUAACUUUCUGAAGAUCCCUUGUAUAUUGCAUGACCCUUGAAAGGGAGAAGGCAGAAUUAUGCAGUUCCUUAUCCACUAUCACUAGCAUAGUAGCUGUCCUGGAGCCAGCACUUAACACAUGGUUGAAUGGUGGACAGAAUGAACCAUGGCAGUUAAUGCUCAUUGCUUGCUUGUUUGCUGUGCUGUGUGUUCUUGAUCCCUCUGAGGUGGUGUCAGUGUCCACACUUGAGAGCCUGGGAAACUGAGGCCAGAGGGCCCAUGGGUGGCACGCAGAGCACAGCUGUUCAGUGAUGGCCUCAUUCUGCGUUGAAGGCAGGUGGGUGGUCCCUGACCCCCUGCUCCUGAUGCUACUGUAGUUCACCUGCUGAACGUGCUGCCCCUUGUCCUCCCCUGAGUCCUCCUUGUGUGGGGUCCUGCUCGGAGCCCUGGAUGACCCCGUGGUCAGCACUUGCUCCAGAACUCGUGAUGGGAACGUGUUUGAUGAGCCAUCUUCUCUGUGUGCCUUUCAGUAGCCAUUGCAUCACUUGAUUCUGUAAGAGGGGUCAGGUUUUGAAUUUGAACCCGAUUGAGCCAGAGUUCUGACACUUUUUGACAUGGAACCAGCCACUGACCUGUUCAAACCUCAAUUCCUUUAUCUCUAGAAUAGGAAGUUAUGUGUUCCCAAGAACUUAAACCAACCUGGUGUCAAAUGGUUUGACACCAGAAUGGACCCUGUAUCGGAUCAGAAAUGAGCAGUUGUCCCCAGAAGCUGUGUAGUUCCCAGAUCUGCAAAAAUGUGACGGACGAAGAGCUUCCCCUGCAGAGUGCCCACUGCAGCAGGUGUGAACCUGUGCAGGAGGCUUGCGCUGUGCACUGAAGCAGUCUUCCACAAAACUUACUUUUCUUCAAAGUCUUAGGUUUCUCCCUUAAAAUUUAUACAAAUUUUGAAUUCUGCUCCUUAGGAUAUAGGGUACUUUAAAAAGUUUGUGGAAAAAAUGGGAUUAAAAAUUUACAUUGACACAAAACAAAUUGAAAUCCAUGUAUAGCUUCUUAUAAUUCACAUCUCCACAAACUUAUUUUUUUAUUUUUAUUUAUUUUUUGACAAGCAGAGUUAGACAGUGAGAGAGAGAGACAGAGAAAGGUCUUCCUUCUGUUGGUUCACCCCCCAAAUGGCCGCUGAGGCUUGCACGCUGCACUGAUCUGAAGCCAGGAGCCAGGCAUUUCCUCCUGGUCUCCCUUGUGGGUGCAGGGCCCAGGCACUUGGGCCAUCCUCCACUGCCUUCCCGGGCCACAGCAGAGAGCUGGACUGUGAGAGGAGCAACCGGGACAGAAUCUGGUGCCCCAACCGGGACAGAAUCCAUCGCCCCAACUGGGACUAGAACCUGGAGUACAGGCACCGCAGGCAGAGGAUUAGCCUAGUGAGCCGUGGUGCCAGCCUCCACAAACUUUUGAUGUACACUGUUAUCUGUUUAAUAUGGUAUAAAAAUGCAUAAAAUUAUGCAAAAGUUCACAUGCCAAGAAGGGUCUGUCAUCACAGCUGUUCCACUUCUUAUUGCAAACAGUGUGGAUGCCCUGACUUUGUGCGGGCCCCGGAAGCUCAGUUGCUGUGCAUCUUCUCUAGGAGUGAGGGGGAACCUGAGCUCAGGGGCCUGAAAGUGCAGUUCUCCCUCUGCUGGCCUGGAUGCCAAACCUGGGCGAGGAGAGUGAGUCCCUGGGGACAAGGCUGCUCAGCAGGCAGUGUGCCUCUGCUCAGGCAGGAAGCUGAUCCUUCGCAUUCAAUUGGAGGGCAUGUGGCUGCUUUCCACAGAGGAAAACAAGCUUCCUCCCAGGUCUCAGGCGAAGGCCCGUGAAAAGCUUGGUUCUUAGCACGCAGAGAAAGUUGGAAGAUGUUUUCUCCUAUUGAAACGACAGAGCCUGCCUGUGAGCCAGUGUCGAUUCACUGCCUUAUGUGGGCAAGCUUUUGUGUUUGUGCUGUGUGUGCGUAAUGAGCAUUCACCCUUAGGACAAGACGUUCUUUUGGUCUGCAGUGAAUGAAGGGGUAAAUAUUAGCUUUUUUCUUUGAAACGGGUACCUUAGGUAUUUUUUUUUUAAACAGGGGUAGGACUUGCUAAGGAAAAUGUUGAUUUGCAUAGAAUCUCUGUUUACUCUGAUGCCAGCCUCCUUCAGCAUUCGGUUGUAGCAUGGUUUCCUGCCCCACAGUCCUCACUGUCUCCCCCACAGCGCCCGCCCUGUGUCUGUCAUUUCUAUGCUGACAGUGGCAGUGGGGAUGUGAGGCAUUGUUACUGUUGAUCUUUUGUGUCUUUGUCUAAUUUAAAUGACCAGGUUGGAGGAUGUCGACCACUGCUGUCAAUAAAGGCUCGCUCAGUCAGUCGUUCCACAUUUUUAUUGUUGUCUUUGAGCAAUUGCAGUGUUCUGAGUGAGCUGGGCUGUAGGGAAAUAAAGGUGAACAUAUAAACAUGAUCCCUUACUUUGGAAUGAAUAAUGAAGCCAGGUGACUCUGCACGGGCAGAGCUAGUCUCAUGGACGUGACUUGUCUGGUGUCUGGACAGUUUGGACGGUGCUUGGGAGCCCCUGUUGGAGAGAUGCUCUAGGUUUGAUUUGUGCAGAAUCAAACUUGACUUUCUUUCUUUUUUUUUUUUAAGGCAGAGUGGACAGUGAGAGAGAGAGACAGAGAGAAAGGUCUUCCUUUUCCGUUGGUUCACCCUCCAAUGUCCGCCGCGGCCGCACCGCACCUAUCGGAAGACAGGAGCCAGGUGCUUAUCCUGGUCUCCCAUGGGGUGCAGGGCCCAAGUACUCGGGCCAUCCUCCACUGCACUCCCUGGCCACAGCAGAGAGCUGGCCUGGAAGGGGGGCAACCGGGACAGAAUCCGGCGCCCUGACCAGGACUAGAACCCGGUGUGCCGGCGCCGCAAGGUGGAAGAUUAGCCUAGUGAGCUGCAGCGCCAGCCAAACUUGACUUUCAAUUUUAGCUGCACUAUUUGCCAGCUCUGAGACCUUCACCAAUUUAUUUCUUCCCAGCAACCUUCAGGUUUUCUUCAUGUGUAAUACAGGGAUAAUGUUAAUCCCUUUUACAUAGUUGGAGGAAAUAAGACAUCAGGGCCUGAUAAUAGUGAUUUGUAAACUGUUUACUGUUGAAAUAGCUACAUUUCUAGCAUGUGCCAGACCUGGGUCCAGCUGUUGAGCUGUCUUGGGGACUGUGCUGAGGACCAAGGCCAGGACCUUGAAGGAUUCCCUGGCAGUUUUCUUUGGGCUCAGUCUCCCAGUGCUGGUGUGAGUUGAAUGCAAAUGGGAAUAAGUGCUCAUGGAUUAUGUGUUACUGGUGUUCUGUAGCAAUUCUGGUGUCACUGUUGCUGCUUUGAGAACAAAAUGAAUUCAAAUGACUCUGCCAAGACAAGACAUGGGUCCAGGGCUCUGCUGUAUUUAACAGUAUCUCGAGAGGAGAGGAAGGUCACGUUCAUCACAGUAGUAACCCCUGUCCCAGGUGAGCGUGUUGUGUUCUUCCACUGCAGCCUCACCCGCACUCCAGGGAGCAGACACAGAGCUCAUCAAGACUCCUGGCUCAUCCCAGGGCUUGUGGUCAGUCAGUGGUGAAGAAAGGCAGGACUGGGACCAGUUUCCCGAUGGCUAAUGCAACACUCCUGUGCCGUACUACUUAGAGGAAGUUGCUAGCCUUGUCUCCCUCUCUUGUGAUGAGACUCGAGUUUGUUUUUCCCUCUAUGAGAUGGGGGUGACAGAGGUGGGCUGCGGGCUGGAGAAGUGGAAUGGACAGUGUCACUGUUCUGCACAGGGCUUGGCUCUGAAGCUCAGAAGGACGAGUGUACUCAGUACAGUCCCUGUCAGGGACUUGCGAGAUGAGCUGGGUGUGAGGUCUGUUUUCGGCCGCUUACUUGUGUGGCCUUGGGCUGAUUCCUUCUUCUCUCUGAACCCCAGUUUCCUCAUGAAUGAGUGAGGAUUGUCAUGAUGAACACACACAGCCUGAACAGCAAGGUUACAAUAAAGCUGGUUAUCAGCAUGAUGAAGAAGUGGAUCAUUUUGCAUUGCUUCGGCCCCCCUUCCACGCACUAAGAAUGAAACUCGUGACCAUGUGCUUGGAUCUGCACCCUUUGUAGUCUCCAGCUGCUGCACUGGCUGGCUCUCUCCUUCCCAAGAGGACUCAAGCGACUUGCAGGAGCCUCUGUCCUCCACUGAAACCAGGGCUCAUCACCUUGAUGUCCCUUAGAGCUGGUUCAGCCCUUGCCUCCUGGACAGCAGCAGCUUGAAUCUGGGGGGUCAGAAGCAGAGCUCAGAGCUAUGGUUGUGCCACCCCUUCCCCCCGUGCCCCCUUUCCUACUUUAGCAGGAAGUGCGACAUCCUUGGUCCACACAACUACUUGGUGUGUUAUCCAUGUGCAAGAAGCAGCACCUCUGACCUACUCUGCUGUGAGGAUGCUCAGCCCGGGGAAGGGACUCCAGAGACAUGAAACAUAGAUUCAGGAAGUAUUAGAAAUGCAGACUGAAAGGACCAGGGCUCCUUGUCUCUGGCCCGGGCUUCUGGGUCAGUCAUGGUCUAACAGGUUCCCAUGUGGGGUCAUCACCGGACCGAGAUGAGGUUGUUAAGCAGGUACCAUGCCAGCAUUCAGGCUAAGGUGGAUGUGUGAUUGCUGCUGUCUGAACCUGCCACAGGCCAGCCCACAGUGCCUGGCACAGCCUUUAUGUGCAGAAUAUGUUUGCUGAGUGAAAGAUCUUUGGUUUGCUGGGAUGCUGAGACGUCACACCAUUGUCAUUAGGGUAGUUGCAGCUGUUAUGAACUUAUUAUAAGAACUUAUACUCCAGGUGCUGUAAGAAGCACCAUCUAGGAGUCAUCACUGGUGCUUUUUUUUUUUUUAAGAUUUAGUAUGUAUUUAAAGGCAGAGUUAGUGGGAUAGACACACACACACACACACACACACACACACACAUAGAUAUCUUCCAUCCCUGGUUCAUUCCCCCAAAUGGCUACAAUGUCCAGGGCUGGGCUAGGCCAAAGCCAGGUGCCCAGAACUCCAUCUGGGUUUCCUACAUGGAUGCAGGGGCCCAAGUACUUGGGAUGUCUUCCACUGCUUUCCCAGGCUUAUUAGCAGGGAGCUGGAUCAGAGGUAGAGCAGAUGGGACUUGAACCAGCACCCAUAUGGGAUGCCAGCACUGCAGGUGGCAGCUUCACGCUCUGUGGCACAACACUGGCCUCAUUCACUGACUUAGCCUGAAGGAAAAAAGUUGUUUUUUUUUCUUUCCUCUUUUGCCACUCAGCGCAACACACACAAUCCAGAACACUUCGCUCUGAUCGCUGAACACGUGUGAGGGUUUCUCCUCACCAACUACCAGCUUUCCGGUGGACUAUACCUGGGGAUCCUAUAAUUGAACUCAAAUCCUGGCCAUGUGUACCUGGAAGUACACCCAGAUCCCUCAAGUUAAGAGACUGGACUGUCCCCCAUGUCAGAGGCCAGCCACAGGCCCUAGGCUGUGACCCCUACUUCUGACCGGCUCUAAGUUGGGGUUCCAACAGCCCUUUCAUUGGAUUUGAUUACUUUGCCAGAAAAGCUGAUGUAACUCAGGAGCACUUUACUCCCAUUUUCCCCUUUGUGGUCCAGUAUAUCACACAGGAUGCAGACAGACACCUAGACAGGGGAGAUGUGCAGGGCCAGGUGUGGGGAGAGGGCUCUCCUGGGCUCACCUCACUCUAGGGACUUCCAUAUGCUGAGCAGUCCAGGUGCCCUGAGAACCCUAGCCUUCUGGGGUUUUAUGGAAGCUUCAUUACCUAGGCGUGGCUGAUGACAUCGCGGUGACAAAAUAUUAGAAAUGCGAAUUGAAAGGACCAGGGCUAUUGGUGACCAACUCAAGCUCCAGCGCUGCCUGGAGGUUGGGGUGCGACUGAAAGCCCCCACCUCUAAUCACGCUGUGGUGGUUCUGAGCGCCAGCCCCACCCUGAAGGCAUCUCGGGCUAUUGGCACACGACAGACAUGCAGAUCACUGCAGAGUCCAAAGACAUGAGGAUCUGUAUGCUGGGGGCCAGAGUCACCGAGAGAAUAUUCCAGCAAAAGAUCUCUGAGCACCCUUGCCUGUAGGGUUUUAGGGGCUCCUUCUAGAAACCUGGACAGAGACUGAAUGUGAUGCAUUCUGACUGCACAGUGGCCACAGUGGAACACCUGUGUCGAGACAGACGCCCUCAUUCCCUGUGUCGUACACUUGUGGGACCUGCUCUGGGUCCACCGCCAAGGGCAGCCGAGUCGGUGUCUGAGCCGUGUGUGGCUCUGAAGAGCUUGCUGUUGACUCAGGCUCAGAUGGGGUCCUGGGCUUGGUGGGCUCAAGCGUGGGGCAGUGGUCCCAUGACCUCCCUGGCUCAUCUUCAGAGAAAUGCAAGGGGCUUGAAAACAUUGAUGGCAGAAGUGCAGUGAGAAUAGAAUGCUGUUGUCCUUUUGCAGACAGCUUGUAGCCUGAGAGUGGGCUUCCAAGACUCCUUCCUGAGCUGGCAUGCAGUCUUCUUUCUCUGUGGGCCUCAGGGGUGUGUGUAGGGCUGAGCACAGGCCCAGGCUCAGCUCCCUGCCGCUGCUGUUCCGACUAUGGAGGAGGAAGAGAGCGGGGCUCCUGCGUAGCUUUGGCUCAUGAAGGAGAAUCCCAGCUGCCUGGCUUUUGGACAGAGUGCCCGGGGCAAUAAACACCCUUAGAAUUAAGCCCACACACUCCAGUCACAUCACGCAGGCCAAGCACUUUAGCAGUUCUGGUUCUAGAUCGCUGCCUUCCUUAAUGGGCACAAAACAGGACGAGGUGGGGGGAACGGAAAUCACUCAAUUAGAAGAUGAAGCUGUGACCUGCAACACUGGGCAGACCUCCCCUCGCCCGGCUGCUCCAGUGCACGUGGCCAGGUGACUAGAAAACGGGAGCCCUGGCACUCAGUAGUGACAGUGCAGCUGGUAAAGGCUCACCUGUGCCCCUAUAGAUGCCCGGGGCCAGACCAGCCACCUGAGCUGGAUCAUAAACGGACCGUUUAUUCUGUGCUCAUACCUGCACCUUCUAAGUUAACGAAAGGGAUUGCUAGCAGGGCCUAAAGAAUGGAAUGGAAUGGCUCUUAAGUGAAACCCCUCAUCCACAGCAUUUCAAAGCCUAGUACGCAUGGUUCAUUCUUAAAUUCUGCAAAGACCGAGACAUCAUACUGCUGUAAGAGUCCCUUGGUUAAAUAGUUGACAAAGCUCCCACCUGGGAAGUAUUCAUUAAGCAAAGGAGCUCUCGACUUCUUUACAGCAUCCCAUUUUCAGUGUUGUUUUUUUAGAAGAAUGCAUGAGGGGGCCAGCACUGUGGUGUAGCAGGUAAAGCUGCCAUCUACAGGGCCGGCAUCCCAUAUGGGCGCCAGUUCAAGUCCCGGCUGCUCCACUUCUGAUCCAGCUCCUUGCUAAUGUGCCUGGAAAAGCAGUGGAAGAUUGCCCCAGUGCUUGGGCCCCAGUACCUGCUUGGGAGACCUGGAAGAAGCUCCUGGCUCCUGCCUUCGGAUCCGCGCAGCCCCAGCCAUUGCUGCCAUUUGAGGAGUGAACCAGUGGAUGGAAGACCUCUUUCUUUCUGCCUCUGCCUCUCUGUAACUUUACCUUUCAAAUAAAUAAAUAAAUACUUUUUACAGAAAAAGAAUGCAUGAGACCCCAGGCCUCAUUUCUUUGGCCUGUUCUGUGGGCUCGAGGGGUGUGUAUGGGCACAUCUGAGAAAGAAGGGGAGCUGAGAGGCUGUGGAGUGAAACUGAAAUCCACUGACGUGAUGUCAUUCAACUGACAGCUUCCUGUUGCUUUGUUCAGUUGUUCUGUGUAUAACAGUGACAGUGUCACCCUGAAACUGUGCUGUAGAAUGGGAAAUGUAAUGGAAAAAAAUGGCCGCUCAGGAUCGUAUUUUUCAUCACAGGAUUCUCAGGUUCCUGGCUUCGUAGGGAAGAAUCAAUAUUGAAUCCAGUUGUGUUGGCAAAUACACAAGUUUGAAAAGACUACAGAGGGACAUCAACAACACUAAAAGUCCGAGAGCAUUAAUGUCCAAAAACAUAAAUACAGAUUCAUUACUGCUAGCAUGUUUGAGGAAGUUUGUUUUUUCCAUGGUUUUAUAUCUGUGUACACUGUGUACACUGCUGUGUAGUGAGCACGUGGUGGUGGACUUUGAGUCAGUUGUCCACCUCCUGAAACACUGUAACUUCUUGCUCAUUUUCUGGCUGAAGGGUUGGGUUCUUGUUUUGUAUCUCGUUUGACUGGCACAGAGGCUGAGUUCUCAAGGGACCCAUCAUGGGAGCAAAUACAUUCCUGCAAUAUGUGGUUAGUCUGAUUCAAUCAAGCCCAGUGCCUGCUCAUCUGUCACCCAAGCCACUCUUGCGGUUCUUGGCUCAACAAAUUAUUAUGAAAAUGGUUUCACGUCUGCUGCCAAUGGUAAUGUUGCCUGCUUCCAGCUUUAGGGAGGAUAUUUACAGUAUUUCUAUCAGUGUUGAGUCGGAUUGGAGCAAAACCAAGCAAUCUCUACAUCUGCUUAUACUUAGAAGCAAUUCCUUUCACGUGUGCAGGUCAUGCAGUGCCGGCUCUGACGUGACCUGGUUGUGUAGGACUUCAGUGGCCUUAAUAGCUUUGAAUUACCUAAUGGAAAUAUAUUUUGGAAAUAGAAAAUAGUACACAGUCUUGGCGAGUAAUUCCUACCAUGGUAUGGGAUUUGAUAUUGAAAGAGGAAAAAAAAAUAAAGCUCUUGCUGCCAGCAUCCAAGAGAAUACACAUAGAAUUUUCUUUUAUUUUUUCAUAAGAUGGCUCAUCAGGUUGAAGGGAAGAAAUAACAUUUACUGAGAGUGCUUUUUGAAUUCUCACAAGAACGCCAUGGAACCAGCGCUCUUAGCCCAGUUUUACAAAUGAGGAAAAGAAGUCAGCUGGGGUAAGGAGAGGGCUGAUUGACAGCUGCCCAUCAGGAAGGAGUGAAACUGGGUUUUCGGCUUAGAGCUGAUGUGCUGCCUUCCUCUGCUCCCAGAGCUCGACUUGUGUUUCGUUUCCUCUCGGAUGUGGAGCAUUGCUUUGGGUGGCGCUGUUCCCUUUAGAGAAGCAGAGUGCAGCCCCAGUGGCCCUGUUUCUGCUCUCCCAAGGGGUCAUUGCCCUUCCUUAACAGGCUCAGGUUUCCUCCCCCCGCGAGUGGCAGUGGGGACGAUGUCUCCAGGUUCACAAGCCCUGCCUGUCCUGACUGCUGGCCUGGGACAGAAGUCACUUACAGGGCUGCAGAGCUCUGUGCUGGGCCAGCUGCCUCCUUCCUUGCAUGUGGGGGCAUGGGCGCAGGGGACUUGUUUUUCUAGUUGGAGGGGCAACAAGGAAAUUCAGGUUGCAGCAGAGGAGCGCUCCUCCGGGGAGUGCACGCAGGGAGGCUGACCCCUCUGUGGCUGGGGAGGAAGGGGAUGGAAGCUGUGGGCACGGGUGUAUAUUUAGAUCCUUGGGAGGCACCUUUCAGUGACAGUGAGUGAUGGAAUUAUGUUUUUGUUAACAAAUGAGUGAGCUGUGCUGUGGUUUUUAACCAUGUAGCAUUUUGGAUACAUAGGGUGCAAUAAUAAUAGUAAUAGUAAUUAAUAACAGCAGUAAUUGACAGGGUGCACAGUGUCCAUGAAGCCUGUGCUGGGUGGGCCCACUGCAUGGCCCCUUACGUGUGUUUUCAUUCAACCCUCAGGCAACCCAGGAAGCAUUUCUCACGCGCUUGGCCCACUUCCUUUGCCCCUAAGUCACAGCACAGAGUAGCCGGCUGCUCCUGCCACGUUAGCGCAGCCCCCAGGGGUGGCGAACCUGGGCCCCUGUUGUCAUCCGGAAGUAAGGCCAAAGCAAGCCGAGGGCCACUGUGAAAUCAAGAAGUGCAGCUCAACUGUAUGCCUCUUUCUUGGCAGUCAGAUAAAGAAUGAUGGAUGGCCAGCGCCGGGGCUCAACAGGCUUAUCCUCCGCCUUGCGGCGCCGGCACACCAGGUUCUAGUCCUGGUCAGGGCGCUGGAUUCUGUCCCGGUUGCCCCUCUUCCAGGCCAGCUCUCUGCUGUGGCCAGGGAGUGCAGUGGAGGAUGGCCCAAGUGCUUGGGCCCUGCACCCCAUGGGAGACCAGGAGAAGCACCUGGCUCCUGGCUUCGGAUCAGCGCGGUGCGCCGGCCGCAGCAUGCCACCCGCGGUGGCCAUUGGAGGGUGAACCAACGGCAAAAGGAAGACCUUUCUCUCUGUCUCUCUCUCUCACUGUCCACUCUGCCUGUCAAAAAAAAAAAAAUGAUAGACAGAGUCACAAAGGAGAUCUGAGUAACUGGCCAUGUUUAUUUACCAUCCCUUCUCUGUAACCCUGCCUCAGCUGUGCUGCUCUGGAGCACGACUGCCCUGCCCGGGACGGCUCCGUGCCGGCGGCUCUGCGCCGGGCCUGCAGGUGUUCCGCAUGGGCAGCUCCAGUUUUAGUGACCCAGGCAAGGUGACAGCAGUGCUGGCCUGGACAGGCGUGGAAAAGGCUCAUCAGAGAGGCCACUCAGGGUUCCCACCCUGAAUACCAGACAACCCAGGCCACGUUGCUAAGUGGACAUCUGUGCUACUCAGGACAGAGGACUCAACUUUCAGACCCAGCCAUGUGCUCGGGAUGACACAUAGAUCAAUAGCAUGUGUCACCUGCUGAUGUCACAGCCGCUUGAGCUUGGGCGCGUAUGCUGUGAGAUGUUUCAUAGCAGCAUUGCCUAAUGAGACAUUUCUCAGACUGCGGCCCUGACGUUAAGUGACAUGUGAUUGUGUAUGUAUCUGUCUGUGCAGGGACAAACAUGCCAUCCUCAUGACAGGCUACAGGGUCUGUGGCCCAGCAUGUGGCCCCUGGAAUCACCGGGCUGGGCUUACAUCUGGCCUUGCCACCAGCAGUGACAGUAGCCCUUGGACAAGUUCUUGAAUCUUUCUGGUUCCGUUUCCAGCAUUGUAAAAUGGACUUAGCCACUGCCCUGUCUUUGUGGGGUAUUUAGGUAAAACAACCCCUAGUUAUUACAUCAGGCAUUGCCUGGUGCAUUGUUACUGCCUAAUAAUUGUCACCCAGGAUGGUGUUUAUGUGAAGUUCCUCCUCUUCGUAUUGUGCUGACUAUAACAUAGUAAAACCAGCUUUGCUUUGUGUAGACUGUUAGCAUUUCCUAAACGUGUCUGCUCGUUCACACCUCACAGCUGCCCGAAGAAGCACGUGGAUGGGUGAUGUAGGUGAGGAAACAGAUCCCGCGGGGCUGGUCACCGCCGGGAGUUCACCUGAGUCACAGCCCUGCUUCUUCCCACUCUGCUGUGUGGGAGGGCCCUUCAGCAAGUUUUUGGGAGAUGGAAUUAGAAAGUUUACUUUGGUGUGAACAUUUUUUGAAAUCCCAGCAUUAGAUGUUCAAAAAGUUCAUGAAAAUGUGUAUUAUGGCAAAACUGAAUGGUUUCCAAAAUCUUUGUGCACCAAAAUAAAUUUAACUUUUAAUUGCACCUUCUGUGAACGUUUUGCAGUCCUUGUGCUUCUGUAGCAUAGUCUCCCCUGGUUGGCUUCCCGUGUAAGAAAGACUCAGGCAUCUCUCCCCGCGUUGGGCAGCUCCGUGCCAUUGGAAAGCCUGUGGGGCACUUGCGGGUGAGCCCCAAGCAUGCAGUCUUUGGUCAGGAAGCCCCAGGGCGUGGAGAGUUCUCGGGCCACUCUGAGGCCCUGUGUUUAUCUCAGGCCGCUCUGAGGCCCUGUGUUUACUCCUUUUACAACCGUCCUCUAACACCUGACCCUGAGAGUGCUCUAGUGCAGGGGUUAUUAUUGGCUUCUUGGAAUCCAGCCCAGUCUGACUUAAGGAUAUUCAGCAGGUUUUUGAACACAGCCAUGGGUUUUCCUAGAAUUGGGAAGGACGACGCACACUGGGUCUGGCCUUGGAGUUUCUGUGCUGCAGAGAGUGUGAGGACCUGAGUGUGUUGACUGCUCUGCUCACCCUGGGUGCUCAGGUGUGGGAUGUUUGACCUUGGGCAUUGUACACCGAGCUGUUCAGCAUCUCAGCACUACUCAUCGAGUGGUGGCUGUGAUAGUACUCCUCUCACAGGGGUGUGAAUUAAUGCCUACUGAAUGCUCAGAACUGUGCCACUGAACGUGCUGUGCGAAUCUUGGAGAGUUGUUCGGUUUUUCUUUCCAUUGACUUUUUAUCCACAGUGACGAGCCCAGGCUAGCCUGGUACAGAGACGGGGCUCAGUUUGUGUUGGUGACAAGCACAAAGUGACCUUUUGCCUUCAGCAGUGGCUGUGGCUUGCUGAUGAAAGUUCUCUGAGACUUCAGCCAAGAGGCCAUGUUUCAGGAGCUGGGGACACAGGGCAGCUGCAGUCACAGCCACAGCUUGGGGUGCCAUUGCAUACAGGCGCAUAGUCCUGCUGUUCCCAGUCCUGGCACCCCACUGGCAUUUGUCAUCUCACAGAACUUCAGGUGAAAGCCACCUCCCAGGCUUUGUGGCUCCGUCAGUCACUUCCUGUGACCUGUUGAUGAGUCCCUGCUGAUCCUCCUCAGAACCGGGAAACUCAGUCUUCAUGGGUUAGCCAGCUCGCCUGGGGAAGGGCAGCCUCCUUUCCCUGGGGUGCGCUGGCUGCCGCCUGCAUUCCACCCACACUGGCAGAAAAACACGAUGACAGCACUUGAAUCCUCCAGUCUUAGCACUGUGCCACGUCCUGUGCUCUGUGCAGGUGGCCUGGUGGAGAAUGAAGAAGAGACGCCCAGCUGCCCUUGGGAGGUCUCUAAUGUAGAUGGGAGGUGCAUGUAGAGGAGCAGAGUGGGAUUAAGCUUGAUACAAUUGCUGUUAAGAAGCAAGCUGGGCGUUAGGCGAGGGAAGAGAUCCACUUCCUCGCAGUCCCUGGGGUUAUUGUGUGUUGGGGAGAAGUGUCUCAGGAGUGUCCCAGUGGUGGGGAGAGAGCCACCCAGCUGUGACUGGGGAGACUUGGCUUCCAUGCAGAAAACACAGCGUGUACUGACCUCGAGAUGGGAGCAAGCUGCCUGUGUUGGAGGAAGCGAUGUGGGUGCUGAGUGAGGAAUGUCAGGUGACAGGGGUCGGCAGUGAGCAGCUGAGAUUGGGAUGUUAUUCCACAGGAGUUAGGAAGCUAUUACAGGGUUUCAAGCAAUAAAGCUGACUGUCGAUUGGAGACUGGAGUUGGUGAGAGAAUGUUACCAGGCUAUGGGUUUGGUGGGGUGGGGGGGUUGCUGUAAGAUCAGAACUGGGGAGAUGAGUUACAGGGCACCGGCCAUGUUGCAGGUGAGCAAGCGAUGGCAAUGGGAGUGCAAGAGAGGAGAGGAUGGUUUGUGUGUGUUGUGAAGGUAGAAUCCAUGGGGGCCAGCGCUGUGGCUCAGCAGGUUAAUGCCCUGGCCUGAAGCGCCGGCAUCCCAUAUGGGUGCCAGUUCUAAUCCCAGCUGCUCCUCUUCUGAUCCAGCUCUCUGCACUGGGAAAGCAGUGAAAGAUGGCCCAAUUCCUUGGGCCCCUGCACCCACAUGGGAGACCUGGAAGAAGCUCCUGGCUCCUGGCUUCGGAUCAGCACAGCUCUGGCCAUUGCAGCCAAUUGGAGAGUGAAUCAUCAGAUGGAAGAGUUCUCUCUCUCUGCCUCUCCUUCCUCUGUGUAACUCUGACUUUCAAAUAAAUAAAUAUUAAAAAAAAAAAAAGGUAGAAUCCAUAGCCCAGGCUGAUGGGUGGAACAAAGAGGAGGAAGGAAAUGAGAUGAUGAUGGGGAUCAUGCUAUGCGUUGAAGAUGGUCAGAAAGCAGUUGGUGGGUCUCCCUCUUGGGGCCCCGCCAUCAUUCAGAGCUGGGUUGACUCUGGCAGGACAGUGCUCUCCCUAGACAGAGCUGGCAUCAGCAAAGGCUUUAAUAGUACAGAACUCUGUGCUUGUUUGUAAAGUGCUGUGCUGCUGGCUGGGAAUCACUGACAAUAUAUAGAUUUUUUUUUAAUUUAUUAGACAGGCAGAGUUAUAGACAGUGAGAGAAAGAGACAGAGAGAAAGGUCUUCCUUCCAUUGGUUCUCUCCCCAAAUGGCUGCUACCGCCAGUGCUGCAGCAAUCUGAAGCCAGGAGCCAGGUGCUUCUUCCUGGUCUCCCACAUGGGUACAGGGGCCCAAGCACUGGGCCAUCCUCCACUGCCCUCCCAAGCCACAGCAGAGAGCUGGACUGGAAGAGGAGCAGCCGGGACUAGAACCUGGUGCCCAUAUGGGAUACCAGCACCGCAGGCCGAGGAUUAGCCAAGUGAGCCAUGGUGCCGGCCCUGACAGUAUUUUUUUUUUUAUUUUAAAGAUUUUUGUUUUAAUUACUUGAAAGACUUAAAGGAAGAGAGAGAGAAAGAGAGGUCUUCCAUCUGCUGGUUCACUCCCUGAAUGGCCACAGUGGCCAGAGAUGGGUCGGACUGAAGCCAGGAGCCAGAAGCUUCAUCCAAGUCUCCCACGCAGGUAUGGGGGCCUAAGCACUUGGGCCAUCUUCCACUGUUUUUCCAGGCCAUUAGUAGGGAGCUGGAUCAGAAGUGGAGCAGUAGGAUCUCAAACUGGUGCCCAUAUGGGUGCUGGCACUGCAGAUGGUGGCUUUACCUGCUAUGCCACAUCGCCUGCCCCCACUAAUAAUAUUAAGAAUAAAAUAUUAGGCCAGCACCGUGGCUCAAUAGGCUAAUCCUCCACCUGUGGCACCAGCACACCGGGUUCUAGUCCUACUCAGGGCGCCAGAUUCUGUCCCGGUUGCCCCUCUUCCAGUCCAGCUCUCUGCUGUGGCCUGGGAGUGCAGUGGAGGAUGGCCCAAGUGCUUGGGCCCUGCACCCGCAUGGAAGACCAGGAGAAGCACCUGGCUCCUGGCUUCAGAUCAGUGCGGUACGCUGGCCACGGCAUGCCGGCCGCAGCAACCAUUGAGGGGUGAGCCAACGGAAAAGGAAGGUCUUUCUCUCUGUCUCUCUCACUGUCCACUCUGCCUGUCAAAAAAAAUAUAUUAAAAACAAUCAACAUCUGACAUUUUUCAAGCCAGUAUGCUACAUGUUGUGCAGACAUGAUGUUCGCAAGAGUUAGGAGUAGAUUAUUUCUAUUUUAUCAAUGAGAAAAAUCAAGGCUGGAGUUGAUUAAGUGAGCAGCCCAAGGCCCCCUAACAAAUGCAAAAUACUGGAUUUCAAUCGAAAGCCUCGGCUCAUGUCCACCAGCCAGUUACUCUGCAUGGUGGCGUCAUUCUUUAUUUUGCAAGAAUUCUACUUUUUCCCACCCCUGGAACUAGCAGCACAUCGUUAAUCCACAUUACUUAGGAGGGAUUUGACAUAAUGUCCCUCCCACAGCCUGAUGAAUUAAUGAAGGAGCAGCAGUUACGCAAGAGUGACAUAGCUCCUGACCUACGUAUUUGCUUGUUUACACGUGCAAUGUUAGAAGCACCCUUAAAUCAGAAAGCUGUAAGCCAGGCAGAGUAAAUAAUUUCUGUGGCUGACUUGGGGAGAUACUUUCAAUUAAUUUGGGCAGGAUCAUAUGUGAAGUUCGUAAGGAUUAGAGGGAGAAAAUGACUUUCUUAUUUAGCUAAAGCUUGUGUUAUCCUCCAGGUAAACAUGGUAAUGCCUUCCCAAGGAAGAGAAGUGUCAACAGCCGCGGUGAUCAGGGAACCGUGCACCGCACGUCAAUAAUUAGAAGCAGGGCCCCCAGGGGCCUCGCGAGGGAGUUCGCAGCAGGAUGCCCUUCUCUUGGUGAGCCUGUCUCAUGCCGUGGUGAAGCCUUGCCACCUUGGUUUUGGGAGCUGUGGCAUCACAAGUGGAUGCUGAAGCUGAAGCGCUCAGCUGGCUGCUCAGUGCCAGGAGCCAGAUCCUGCCGCCGUGUUUGGGUGGGUGGCAGACCGUCCCUUGACUUCCAGCGGCCCAGCCUGCAAAAGUGUUCAAAGUUUAUCCACCCUGUCCAUGGUGUCAGUGACCACGUUCUGGGCCUUGAAAGACAGACCGUCAUCAGUUAGCGUUUUGUUCAACCAAGGUAAUCGUUAGCCUUAAUGAAGUUUCAUUAAGAGUAAUGGGCUCAUUAAGCAUAAAAUGGCUUGAAAAAGCUUAACUCUCAUCAUUUCUUAGAAUAACUCAAACCUUGGCUAAGAAGGCUGACUUUCACCUUUGUGCAACAAGCAAUCAACAUUUAAUUAGUUGAGAGCUUUGAUUUGUUGAUUACAGCACAUCCAGGGCGUGAAUAUGUAUGACAUUCUAAGAGCAACAGAUGCUGAUCAGCCACAGCUUUUCUGAAGCUCCUUGUCCAGCGGGUUUAAAAGGCUCACAAUGAAUAUGGAUGCCAGCGAUUAUUUAUAGAAUAACUCUUCUAUUCCCAUCCUUAGCCUUUACAAAGUUAUUUUUGAGUUUACUGUGACCUGAUUUUUAAUUCCAAGAGAAGAAUGCUUUGCUGUUAUUUUCUUUUUCGAAAUGUGCGUUCCUCAAAUAAAGGAGACAGGUUGUGAACAUCCAGCUCACUCAUUUACAAGCUGGGGAAGCGAUUGUUGAGUUCACACAAAGCUUUUGCAUGCUAUUCAACACGGUUUUUAGUUGUUGGUUCUCCUGGAGGCAGUCCUGCAUGCUGGGAACCCCCAGAAAUGGAUGUGUCAAGUGCAUCUGUAGAUGUGUGUUCUUGCCAACAUCUCUUUCAGGAUGCGUGCAGUCGGGUCUCAAGUAGAGUUCAAUGCCAGGUUGUUGUGAGCAUUCGUCUGGCUUCUCUGGUUUGUCCUGUUGCAUGAAGCCUCCUGAGUUUCCUUUUCUUUGCAAAACAAGAAGAAUAUUUUGAAGGCAUUCAAAUAUGGAUUAGCAGUUUAUUCACGGGACGAGUGUUUUGGCCAGAUUCUGAACAAGUAGGGAAAUCAUUCCCCUACUGCCCCAUUCUUUAAUGUUCUCCUGCUUGCUCUCCUGGUGUUGGGAUUGAGGCCGCGAGGAUGUGCUGCAGCUCCUGGGGUGCUGGUUAUUAUCAAGGUGGAGUCCUAAGAAUGGGGUCAAUGUUACUUGGGAAUGAUUGCAUCCAGUGAUGCAAGGCACACGUUCUGCUCAGAUGACUGGCAACACACUGUGCUUCUGCAGUCUUGAGCAUCCCUGUGUGAUGAAGUGUUCAGGCACAGACUCUGCAGCUGGGGGCAGGGAAGCUGAGGAGUGGAGCCACAUCUGGGCCUCAGCUGGGCUGAGAGCUGUGUGACCGAUUGUGCCUCAGUUUUAGUGUGCGUUUCAAUCACCCGGGCUUUCUCUUAUUUCCCCCUCUGUUUAAUGGAACUGACUAUAUUUUUAGUGCAGGUUCUUCCAAACUAACGGUGAGCUGAUGGAUGAAGAUGAUGAUGAAGAACAGACAGCAUAUACCAUUUACUGGUCUUUGUCUGGAUUGGGAUUACGUAGCAGACCUUCCCAGUGCAGUACACAAGUACAUUUGUUUUUCUUGCCAUAUUUCUAGCAGAAAGGGGAUAUUGCAUUGCUUGUUCAAAUGAAGUGUGCACAUGAAGUAUUUUCAGAUGUUAACGUUGGAGUUGGCACCAGAGCCUGGCACCAAACGUGGUAUCUUUGGGAAUUAGUUAAUAAGGCUCUGUUUCUAUUAGCAGAGAGAAUAUUAAAAUUCUCCCCCAAACAGCUUGCUGUGUGACAGUGGCUUUGUUGCAGUGGGAUAACAGGAGCAGAGCACAUUAUUAAUUUAGAGACGGCGAGGCAGAGCUGUCCUCUCCCCCUUUAGAAUUAAGUGAUGAGAAUGGGCAUUUGUGAAAUUGACUGAAUGCUCUUCAGGGGAUGCUUAUUAAAAUCCUAACAUCGUUGCAGAGUUUUGUAGCAGAUUCAUUAUCAGCUGUAAUCUUAUUAGGACUGUUUUGUUUUGUAAUCACCAUUCCAUCCAUGGAGCCCCUAGGUGCACGCCAAGCCUCUCUGCUGGUCUCUCCCUUCUGGUCAGCUUCAUUCUGAUGAAUUAAUUCCUCUCCUCUUCUGCCGAUCAGGCCCUUCGCUUACCCUCUCACUCAGGGUUGGACAUUGUCUUACUGAUUUCUUUUUCUCUCCUCCUGGACCAACUCAACAGGACAGUUGCCUUGAUGUAUGCGUUUUUGUUCCUCAAAAACAGUAUUCUGCAGGUGUCACAGACAGCUUGCCUGCUGCAUUGUGAAACAGAGUGGGCUUGCGGGAUAGAUCCAGUAUCGGUUCACAGUGUCACCAUCACAACUCCUUGAUUCCUGUCCAAAAUGUCCUAAACAAGGCGUCUUUACAGAACCAGGUUUAGGUUCAUAUUCCAGCCUUGGGGAAACUUUUACACUACUGUAACCCUUCCUUUCCUUAUUUUUAGAAGAGCCAUUCAUUCAUUUUUCCAUCCACUGAUUUGUCUAGUGACAAGUAAGUACCUAUCAGGUGCUGAAGAUAGAAUAGUAGACAGACAGGAAGGCCUGCCUUCCUGAGCUUAGAUCCUGCCGACAGGGACAGUCAGGGGAGCAAGUGAGAUGUUAGGGUCUCUUAGUGUGAGAGCUACGGAUGAAAAAUAGGGCAGGACAAGAGCUGACUUUUUUUUAUUGAUUGGGUGGGGGGUGAUAUUGAAAUUUUAGAUUGGGGCAGAGAGGGCUUCACCGUGAUGGUGGCAGUAAGCAAAGAGCAGAAAGAAGUGCUGAGGCAGGUGGAAGACGUCUGGGAGAGAGGACAGUAGACAGGAAGCUGAAAGGGGGCACGCGUGUGUCUGAGGAAUUGCCGGAGUGUCUGGAGGAGAGUUCAGAGCAAACAGUUCUGGGGGCGUGGGCAGUGAGAAUGGAGAGGCCGCGGGGCUGUAGCAAAUUUGGAAGCUACUUCUAAAAAUGGAUGGAGAAGUAGAACUACGAGAUAAGGUCAGUGUGGUGCCAAAGUUUUUUUUUUU